rnacentral:lncRNA from 1 species
CCAGCUUUUCAUUUGUCACCUGCAAGUCGUUAUCAAGUCCCUCUGUGUGCAGCUUCACUUUCCUUUCAAAAUGUUGUAUGAUGCCCUUAGUGCGAGGUGUAUGUGGUGUUUCGUUACCAUCAUCUGCCCCUGGCAUGGUUCAAAGACAAAGACAACAAAAAGGCAAGUGAAGAAAUAAAAGCCCUACAACUACUAGGAUGUAGCUACAGCAAGUCGCUCACACUCAACCUGUAACACAAGUUCUUACCAAUUCUUACCUUGCUUGACAGGAGGGGUCGUCUGCCAACAAGUGUACAGCAAUGGACGAAGUGUAUCGGUGCUGCAGCACAAGACCUGUCAAGCUGUAGAGUAUGUGGAGCUAUAGGUGGGCUGAAACAAGGAACGAACUAGCACCACGUUAGUUAUAAAAGCGAGCUGAAUAAGCGUUCGACGAUGGUACUGUGCUGGUCCUAUGCUAGACCGUGCUAGAGACGCGAGCCUGGACACAAAAGAAAACCACAGCACACCCCCGAAAACAAGGUGGAACAAACCUAAAAUCAAUAUGAAAAACAGCCCCUUCUUUUUUUUCUUUUGAAUCUUUUCUCUUUUUUUUUCCUUUUUUUUUCUUUUUUUUGGGCAACCUCAAAAACUGAUUAUAUGAACAAAAGAAUACAAAAGAGCAACUUGCUACACACACUUUUUUCCGAAAGUACAGGGGUAUUCCCGUAAAAAGAAGAAUACAAAAGAGCAAUUCUCUCUCUCUCUCUAGAGUAAGGCCGAACAAGUAUGGAGUUAUCCUUCUUUUUUUUAUCACGUUGGUGGAACUCAGAUUGGAACUCUACUCGAUCCGGACCAAGACCACAGUUCAAUUCGGACUUCGCAACAGAUUCGACAGAGAGAAGAUAUGGUAAUACUCGGCUGUGUAUAGAUGGUGACAAGAACUCGAAACUCUAAAGGACUAGACACUAAAACCAGCAACUCGACACAAACCGAAGCAACGCAAAUUCAACAAGCCCUAACUAAAACGGUACUAGCCAAGGCACAAAGGUUUAAUAGGAUUAUGGAAAAACUAAUCUACUAUAUUUUUUUGGCUUUUCUGGACUAUAGGAAAUUAAUUAAAAACAGCAAAGGAUUAGAAGUCUCUCACCGAAGAACCUUGCUCUGAUACCAACUGAUGCGAACCCGCUAGGUUUUUGCCUGAUCUUUUGAUGAGAGACGGGGAUAACUCGAUUGGUGGAUGGAGAUGACGUUCACGGCCCGACUACAGCCCUCAAGACCACGCCUUAGCAACCGAUACACCACGUCCAAUAGCCGUCACGAUCUUGUGGAGCGCGACAACCAGCCCCUAGGGCUCCCGUCCUGCAAGCAAUCGAAGAACUAGCAAGAACGAGGAAACAAGCACUGAAUUUGCAAGAUGAAUUGAAGGUUUCAAACUGAAUCUGAAUCAACAAUGGGGUUCCGAAGACAAGAAGACGGGCGGCUGAUCCUGCACGCGCGCCUACAAGCAAGUAGCGAAGGCUAAACUUGAUCUAAACAAAACCCAACGAUCAUGGCGGCUCUAGAGAGAUAUAAGUAGAUGGAUUGACGACCAAAGAGGUGUUGGGGUCGUCCUCCAACCCUAGGACGCAUCCCUAAUGGACCCAACUUGAUACAUGGGCCAUCAGCCCAAAAUGAGGUGACGCAGCACCCUGGACAGCAAGACCUAUCGACGGUAAUUGGGUCAUUGCCGCUGCUGCCGAACAGGUAUUGAUGUGGGACUUGAUUCAUAUGAAAGUAGACUUGAUAAGCUUUCCAACAAGUCCUGAAGCGCCUGAAUCCGUAUCCGUAUGCAACCGUGGUAACGGUCACAAGUUGGCGCUUUGCUGCUGUCCGAAUCCAGCGAGCGUGAGUCCUUCUCCCUUUCGGUCUUCUCCUUGGUUUCUAAUCAAAACAAGAGUGCACGCGUUUCCAUUGUCUAAACAAGAUGGACACGAGCUUAUCAAGGAACUCACUUGAUUACUAAGUUGACGAACACGAGCACGAGUAAGAGGACCAGCUAUAGGUUGUGUCAGAGAGGAUGUAUCGCUGGUGUUGAUGUCCUCAUCAAUAUGUGCACGGUUUACGCCUAAUGCACCAUAGGCUAAGAAACCUUUUUAAAAGCACUCAGUGGUACUCGUAGUUGAACAGGCUCAAGUGGAGGCUCGAUUUUGUCUGUUCGGAUAUAGUGCUAAUCUUGAUGCAAGAUAGUUACACAGUUUGCAUGCAGCGUACUAUAUGUUAAGAAAUCAAUUUGGACGCACCCAAUGGAACUCCUAGAUUAUGUGUGUCAUAUGGAAUCUCGCUUCGGUCUGUUUGGAGACAAUGUUAGUUUCGGUGCAAGGUUGGUGCAUAGUUUGUGCCUAAUGCACCAUAAUCUAAGAAACCAUUUUGGACGCACUUGUUGGUCCUCCUAGGUGAAGGGGCUCAACUGGAUGCUCGGUUCGGUCUGUUUGGAGAUAGUACUAAUCUUGAUGCAAGAUAGGUGCACGGUUUGCAUGGAAUGUAUCAAAUGCUUGGAAAUCAAUCUGGACGCACAUGAUGGAACUCCUAGAUGACGUGUGUCAUACAAAAUCUUGCUUUGGUCAGUUUGGAGACAGUGUUAGUUUCGGUGAAAGAUAGGUGCAAGGUUUGCACAUAAUGCAGCAUAGGCUAAGAAACUAUUUUGGACGCACCCGAUGGUACUCCUAGGUAAAAGGAUCAACUGAAAGCUCGAUUUGGUCUGUUUGGAGAUAGUGCUAAUCCUGAUGCAAGAUAGAUGCAUGGUUUGCAUGGAACAUACGAUAUGCUUAGAAAUCAAUUAGGACGCACCUGAUAUAACUCCUUGAUGAUUUGUGUCUUAUGGAAUCUUGCUUCGGUUCGUUUAGAGAUAGUGUUAUUUUUGGUAGAAGAUAUGUGCACGGUUUACGCCUAAUGCACCAUUGGCUAAGAAACCAUUUUAGACGCAUCCGAUGGUACUCGUAGUUGAAGAGACUCAAGUGGAUGCUCGAUUUGGUCUGUUCGGAUAUAGUGCUAAUCUUGAUGCAAGAUAGUUGCACACUUUGCAUGCAACGUACUACUCCUAUAUGUUAAGAAAUCAAUUUGGACGAACCCAAUGGAACACCUAGAUGAUGUGUGUCAUAGAAUCUCGCUUCGAUUUGUUUGGAGACAAUGUUAGUUUCGGGGCAAGAUAGGUGCAUAGUUUUUGCCUAAUGCACCAUAGUCUAAGAAACCAUUUUUGACACACCUGUUUGUACUCCUAGAUGAAGAGGCUCAAGUGGAAGCUCAGUUCGGUCUAUUUAGAGAUAGUGCUAAUCUUGAUGCAAGAUAGGUGCACGGUUUGCAUGGAACAUACCAUAUGCUUGGAAAUCAAUGUGGAUGCACCCGAUGGAACUCCUUGAUGACGUGUGUCAUAUGGAAUCUCACUUUGGUCUGUUUAGAAAUAGUGUUAGUUUCGGUGCAAGAUAUGUUCUUGGUUUGCGCCUAAUGCACCAUAGUCUAAGAAACCAUUUUGGAAGCACCUGUUGGUACUUCGGUGAAGAGGCUCAAGUAGAAGCUCGGUAUGAUCUGUUUGGAGAUAGUGCUAAUCUUGAUUCAAGAUAGGUGCAUGAUUUGCAAGGAACAUACCAUAUGCUUGAACUCAAUUUGGACGCACCCAACAGAACUCCUAGAUGACGUGUGUCAUAUGUAAUCUUGCUUCUGUCCGUUUGUAGACAUUGUAAGUUUUAGUGCAAGAUAGGUGCACAGUUUGCGCCAAAUGGACUAUAGUCUAAGAAACCAUUUUGGACGCACUAUUUGGUACUCUUGGGUGAAGAGGCUCAAGUGGAAGCUUGGUUCGGUUAGUUUGGAGAUAGUGCUAAUCCUUAUGCAAGGUAGGUGCAUGGUUUGCAUGGAACAUAGCAUAUGCUUGGAAAUCAAUUUGGAUGCACACGAUGGAACUCCUUGACGACGUGUUUCAUAUGAAAUCUCGCUUUGGUCCAUCUGGAGACAUUGUUAGUUUCGGUGCAAGAUAGGUGCACAGUUUGCACCUAAUGCACCAUAGCCUAAGAAAACAUUUUGGAGGCACUUGUUGGUACUCCUAAGUGAAGGGGCUCAAGUGGAUACUCGGUUUGGUCUGUUUGGAGAUAGUGCUAAUCGUGAUGCAAGAUAGGUGCACGAUUCGCAUGGAACAUACCAUAUGCUUAGAAAUCAAUUUGGACGCACUAGAUGCAACUCCUAGAUGACAUAUGUCAUAUGGAAUCUCACUUUGGUCCGUUUAGAGACAGUGUUAGUUUCGGUGCAAGAUAGGUGCACAGUUUGCACCUAAUGCACCAUAGGAUAAGAAACCAUUUUGGACACACCCGAUGGUCCUCCUAGGUCAAGGGGCUCAAGUGCAAGCUUGGUUUGGUCUGUUCGGAGAUAGUGCUAAUCUUGAUGGAUGCACGGUUUGCAUGGAACAUACGAUAUGCUCAGAAAUCAAUUAGGACGCACCUGAUAUAACUGCUUAAUGAUGUGUGUCAUAUGGAAUCUUGCUUCGGUUCGUUUAGAGACAGUGUUAGUUUUGGUAGAAGAUAUGUGCACGGUUUACGCCUAAUGCACCAUAGGCUAAGAAACCAUUUUAAAAGCACCCAAUGGUAGUCGUAGUUGAACUGGCUCAAGUGAAGGCUCGAUUUCGUCUGUUCGGAUAUAGUGCUAAUCUUGAUGCAAGAUAGUUGCACAGUUUGCAUGCAGCGUACUAUAUGUUAAGAGAUCAAUUUGGACGCACCCAAUGGAACUCCUAGAUGACGUGUGUCAUAUGGAAUCUCGCUUCGGUCUGUUUGGAGACAAUGUUAGUUUUGGUGCAAGAUAGGUGCAUAGUUUGUGCCUAAUGCACCAUAGUCUAAGAAACCAUUUUGGACGCACAUGUUGGUACUCCUAGGUGAAGGGGCUCAACUGGAUGCUCAGUUCGGUCUAUUUGGAGAUAGUGCUAAUCUUGAUGCAAGAUAGGUGCACGGUUUGCAUGGAAUAUACCAAAUGCUUGGAAAUCAAUCUGGACGCACAUGAUGGAACUCCUAGAUGACGUGUGUCAUACAAAAUCUUGCUUUGGUCUGUUUGGAGACAGUGUUAGUUUCGGUGCAAGAUAGGUGCAAGGUUUGCACAUAAUGCAGCAUAGGCUAAGAAACCAUUUUGGACACACUCGAUGGUACUCCUAGGUAAAAGGCUCAAGUGAAAGCUCGAUUUUUUCUAUUUGGAGAUAGUGCUAAUCUUGAUGCAAGAUAGAUGCAUGGUUUGCAUGGAACAUACGAUAUGCUUAGAAAUCAAUUAGGACGCACCUGAUAUAACUCCUUGAUGAUUUAUGUCAUAUGGAAUCUUGCUUCGGUUCGUUUAGAGAUAGUGUUAGUUUUGGUAGAAGAUAUGUGCACGGUUUACGCCUAAUGCACCAUAGGAUAAGAAACCAUUGUAGACGCACCCGAUGGUACUCGUAGUUGAAGAGACUCAAGUGGUGGCUCGAUUUGGUCUGUUCGGAUAUAGUGCUAAUCUUGAUGCAAGAUAGUUGCACAGUUUGCAUGCAACGUACUAUAUGUUAUGAAAUCAAUUUGGACGAACCCAAUGGAACACCUAGAUGAUGUGUGUCAUAUGGAAUCUCGCUUCGGUUUGUUUGGAGACAAUGUUAGUUUCGGGGCAAGAUAGGUGCAUAGUUUUUGCCUAAUGCACCAUAGUCUAAGAAACCAUUUUUGACACACCUGUUUGUACUCCUAGAUGAAGAGGCUCAAGUGGAAGCUCGGUUCGGUCUAUUUAGAGAUAGUGCUAAUCUUGAUGCAAGAUAGGUGCACGGUUUGCAUGGAACAUACCAUACUCAAUGUGGAUGCACCCGAUGGAACUCCUUGACGACGUGUGUCAUAUGGAAUCUCACUUUGGUCUGUUUAGAAAUAGUGUUAGUUUCGGUGCAAGAUAUGUUCAUGGUUUGCGCCUAAUGCACCAUAGUCUAAGAAACCAUUUUGGAAGCACCUGUUGGUGCUUCGGUGAAGAGGCUCAAGUGGAAGCUCGGUUUGAUUUGUUUGGAGAUAGUGCUAAUCUUGAUUCAAGAUAGGUGCAUGAUUUGCAAGGAACAUACCAUAUGCUUGAACUCAAUUUUGACGCACCCAACAGAACUCCUAGAUGACGUAUGUCAUAUGUAAUCUUGCUUCUGUCCGUUUGUAGACAUUGUAAGUUUUAGUGCAAGAUAGGUGCACAGUUUGCGCCAAAUGCACUAUAGUCUAAGAAACCAUUUUGGACGCACUAUUUGGUACUCUUGGGUGAAGAGGCUCAAGUGGAAGCUUGGUUUGGUUAGUUUGGAGAUAGUGCUAAUCCUUAUGCAAGGUAGGUGCAUGGUUUGCAUGGAACAUACCAUAUGCUUGGAAAUCAAUUUGGAUGCACCCGAUGGAACUCUUUGACGACGUGUGUCAUAUGGAAUCUCGCUUUGGUCCACUUGGAGACAUUGUUAGUUUCGGUGCAAGAUAGGUGCACAGUUUGCACCUAAUGCACCAUAGCCUAAGAAACCAUUUUGGAGGCACUUGUUGGUACUCCUAAGUGAAGGGGCUCAAGUGGAUGCUCGGUUCGGUCUGUUUGGAGAUAGUGCUAAUCUUGAUGUAAGAUAGGUGCACGAUUCGCAUGGAACAUACCAUAUGCUUAGAAAUCAAUUUGGACGCACUAGAUGCAACUCCUAGAUGACAUAUGUCAUAUGGAAUCUCACUUUGGUCCGUUUAGAGACAGUGUUAGUUUCGAUGCAAGAUAGGUGCACAGUUUGCACCUAAUGCACCAAAGGAUAAGAAACCAUUUUGGACACACCCGAUGGUCCUCCUAGGUCAAGGGGCUCAAGUGCAAGCUUGGUUUGGUCUGUUUGGAGAUAGUGCUAAUCUUGAUGCAAGAUAGAUGCACGGUUUGCAUGGAACAUACGAUAUGCUCAGAAAUCAAUUAGGACGCACCUGAUAUAACUCCUUAAUGAUGUGUGUCAUAUGGAAUCUUGCUUCGGUUCGUUUAGAGACAGUGUUAGUUUUGGUAGAAGAUAUGUGCACGGUUUACGCCUAAUGCACCAUAGGCUAAGAAACCAUUUUAAAAGCACCCAGUGGUACUCGUAGUUGAACAGGCUCAAGUGGAGGCUCGAUUUCGUCUGUUCGGAUAUAGUGCUAAUCUUGAUGCAAGAUAGUUGCACAAUUUGCAUGCAGCGUACUAUAUGUUAAGAAAUCAAUUUGGACGCACCCAAUGGAACUCCUAGAUGACGUGUGUCAUAUGGAAUCUCGCUUCGGUCUGUUUGGAGACAAUGUUAGUUUUGGUGCAAGAUAGGUGCAUAGUUUGUGCCUAAUGCACCAUAGUCUAAGAAACCAUUUUCGACGCACUUGUUGGUACUCCUAGGUGAAGGGGCUCAGCUGCAUGCUCGAUUUGGUCUGUUCGGAUAUAGUGCUAAUCUUGAUGCAAGAUAGUUGCACAGUUUGCAUGCAACGUACUAUAUGUUAAGAAAUCAAUUUGGACGAACCCAAUGGAACUCCUAGAUGAUGUGUGUCAUAUGGAAUCUCGCUUCGGUUUGUUUGGAGACAAUGUUAGUUUCGGGGCAAGAUAGGUGCAUAGUUUGUGCCUAAUGCACCAUAGUCUAAGAAACCAAUUUGGACGCACGUGUUGGUACUCCUAGGUGAAGGCGCUCAAGUGGACGCUCGGUUCGGUCUGUUCGGAGAUAUUACUAAUCUUGAUGCAAGACAGGUGCAUGGUUUGCAUGAAACAUACCAUAUGCUUGGAAAUCAAUUUGGAUGCACCCGAUGGAACUCCUUGACGACGUGUGUCAUAUGGAAUCUCACUUUGAUCUGUUUAGAAAUAGUGUUAGUUUCGGUGCAAGAUAUGUUCAUGGUUUGCACCUAAUUCACCAUCGUCUAAGAAACCAUUUUGGAAGCACCUGUUGGUACUUCGGUGAAGAUGCUCAAGUGGAAGCUCGGUUUGAUCUGUUUGGAGAUAGUGCUAAUCUUGAUGCAAGAUAGGUGCAUGAUUUGCAAGGACACAUACCAUAUGCUUGAAAUCAAUUUGGACGCACCCAAUAGAAUUCCUAGAUGACGUGUGUCAUAUGUAAUCUUGCUUCUGUCCGUUUGUAGAUAUUGUAAGUUUUAGUGCAAGAUAGGUGCACAGUUUGUGCCAAAUGCACUAUAGUCUAAGAAACCAUUUUGGACGCACUAUUUGGUACUCUUGGGUGAAGAGGCUCAAGUGGAAGCUUAGUUCGGUUAGUUUGAAUAUAGUGCUAAUCCUUAUGCAAGGUAGGUGCAUGGUUUGCAUGGAACAUACCAUAUGCUUGGAAAUCAAUUUGGAUGCACCCGAUGGAACUCCUUGACGACGUGUGUCAUAUGGAAUCUCGCUUUGGUCCAUUUGGAGACAUUGUUAGUUUCGGUGCAAGAUAGGUGCACAGUUUGCACCUAAUGCACCAUAGCCUAAGAAAACAUUUUGGAGGCACUUGUUGGUACUCCUAAGUGAAGGGGCUCAAGUGGAUACUCGGUUCGGUCUGUUUGGAGAUAGUGCUAGUCUUGAUGCAAGAUAGGUGCACGAUUCGCAUGGAACAUACCAUAUGCUUAGAAAUCAAUUUGGACGCACUAGAUGCAACUCCUAGAUGACAUAUGUCAUAUGGAAUCUCACUUUGGUCCGUUUAGAGACAGUGUUAGUUUCGGUGCAAGAUAGGUGCACAGUUUGCACCUAAUGCACCAUAGGAUAAGAAACCAUUUUGGACACACCCGAUGGUCCUCCUAGGUCAAUGGGCUCAAGUGCAAGCUUGGUUUGGUCUGUUUGGAGAUAGUGCUAAUCUUGAUGCAAGAUAGAUGCACGGUUUGCAUGGAACAUACGAUAUGCUCAGAAAUCAAUUAGGACGCACCUGAUAUAACUCCUUAAUGAUGUGUGUCAUAUGGAAUCUUGCUUCGGUUCGUUUAGAGAUAGUGUUAGUUUUGGUAGAAGAUAUGUGCACGGUUUACGCCUAAUGCACCAUAGGCUAAGAAACCAUUUUAGACGCACCCGACGGUACUCGUAGUUGAAGAGACUCAAGUGGAGGUUCGAUUUGGUCUGUUCGAAAAUACUGCUAAUCUUGAUGCAAGAUAGUUGCACAGUUUGCAGGCAACGUACUAUAUGUUAAGAAAUCAAUUUGGACGAACCCAAUGGAACUCCUAGAUGACGUGUGUCAUAUGGAAUCUCGCUUCGGUUUGUUGGGAGACAAUGUUAGUUUCGGGGCAAGAUAGGUGCAUAGUUUGUGCCUAAUGCACCAUAGUCUAAGAAACCAUUUUUGACACACUUGUUUGUACUCCUAGAUGAAGAGGCUAAAGUGGAAGCUCGGUUCGGUCAGUUUGGAGAUAGUGCUAAUCUUGAUGCUAGGUAGGUGCAUGGUUUGCAUGGAACAUACCAUAUGCUUGGAAAUCAAUUUGAAUGCACCCGAUGGAACUCCUUGACGACGUGUGUCAUAUGGAAUCUCACUUUGGUCUGUUUAGAAACAGUGUUAGUUUCGGUGCAAGAUAUGUGCAUGAUUUCCGCCUAAUGCACCAUAGUCUAAGAAAACAUUUUGGUAGCACCUGUUGGUACUUCGGUGAAGAGGCUCAAGUGGAAGCUCGGUUUGAUUUGUUUGGAGAUAGUGCUAAUCUGAUGCAAUGUGGCAGAACCUCCUAUGUGUUUGGGUCCACCGACACCUGUCAUUGUCCUACGGACCUCUGACGGUGAUGCUGGGGAUCCUCCCACUCUAGAAGUCCGAUGAGCAUCGCUAGAUACUCAUUCCACCGCUACCUGUGGCGUGUCAAGCAAGCUCGUCCUGACCACCGGUGUUGGUCAAUUAACGAGAACUUCUUCUUCUCGCCCUUACAGGAUAGCAAGUGGCCACCUUAACACCAGGAUCACUCGUUGCGAAGACAUUGCAGUAUCACAAACGACAUAAGACCGAAAUAAUAGUUCAGAGUAAAACAGCGGAAGUAUUACAUAACUUAAUUUACAAAAGGAGUUCUUCCAAAUAGUAGAGUGUUAUUACAAGCCAGGUCCAGCGGAGUAACUUAAACUUUAGUACACAGAUUACAAAUUUACAGACCCUGCCCAUGGGUCACGCUCACUCUUCCUCGUCGUCAACCUCGAUGACGGUCACACAACAAGGUCCGAAACAGGUCGGCUCCUGAGCUUCACCUGCAACAGGGGUUAUAAAACCCGGAGUACGGGAGUACUCAACAAGACUUACCCGGUGGAAAAAGAGGAGAAGGUAGGAAUGCAGGCUGAGGUUAGACAAGGGGUGGCUGAGCAAGGAGCCAAAUUGCUUUGCCAAAAAGCUUACUAAUAGUGCGUCCUUACUUUCAAGUUUUACCCGCGAAUUCCUCUCCUCAAGAGGCCGAGGAGUUCGAUGACAGUCUAUCUAGUUGCUUCUCACAGACAAGUCUGUAAGUUCCUAGUCCUUAAUCAAAGUAUUAUCUAUCCAACGGCCAUAGCUUCAUGUCACUCUGAGUCUGGGAAUUGGGAUCCGAACCUCAGGAGACAUUUCCCCCUUUCUCAUUUUAUCACUUAGUUGCAUAUUUAACUAAUGAGGGUCGAAGGAAUUGAGUCUCCCAAUCGGGGAGCAACGACGAUUCGAAUCGCUUAGCAAUCCAGCUGGAGUUCCUAACCACCCGACAUAUGUAAAAUCAAAUCUUGCAUAUGUCAACCCAAAUCAAGUUCUCCCCAAAUUUGACUAGGUUCGCGGCACCCGAGAGCACAAUACUCCACCAUCCUACAGCUGAUCUAGAUGUUUUCCGGUCAUCUCAGAUCCGUAAGGUGGGUACACACUACUCUCGCCAUCGCUCCACGCCCAGUGCGCAAGUAGCUGUUCGCAUCGAGGGAUCACAAGACCGGGCUUACCGAGGGCAAGUGGCUAGUACUAUAAAUUCUCAACCCAGCAGGCCAUCAACGGACCGGUCCUUAACCGACACAGUUGGAGACACUACUUUAAGACUCCAUUCUUAAAGCAAGUCCGCCGACCGGUCUCAAGUUGAAACAUCAUUGACCAUAAGUGUAUUCCACAACAACCCUUCAAACUUUCUUGUUUGAGAACCUAUCUAGUAGCAGGGCUAAGCAUCACUACGCAGUUUUAAAACAAAACAGGUGCCAAGGACAAGAUAACAAAUAUCAAGGUAGUAAAUGCAACAAGUAGGUUAACCCAAUUCUGAACUACCUAAUGCAGCAUUUUCAAUUCAUAAGUGAUAAAAGAUUUAGAACAUUCAAGGAGGGGUUAAUGCAUCUGGGGCUUGCCUUGGUUGCAGAGCUGAGAGGGACCCUCGGAGACUUCCCAAGUCUCGGAUCCUACUUCCUCGAACGGAGCACCGACCUCGGGGUUCGGUUCAACGGUUGCUCCUUCGGUCAUGUGCACUAUACGCAAAAUGAUGAAUGCUCAUGAUAUGCGUAUGACAAAAACCUAAGUUGGACCGAGUUAAGUACAACUGGUCUCCUCGGUGCAACACAGACUAAUUAAUAAUUAAAGUUGUUUAUUAUCUUAGUGUCUUUACCCAAGAGGUUGCAUCUGUAAACUAAGAUUCCUCUUAAUUCAUAAUUAUCCUAAAUUAACUAAUUAUUAAUCCUUUUUACCUUAAUUCAUUCUUAAUUAAGUAUUAAUGACAGUAAUUAAGCAUUAAUGCCAAACAAUAAUUAAAUGCCAAAGGUCAUUAAGGUUAAUGACCUCAGGUCAUCACAUAAUCCCAAAAUCACUCAAACCCUAAUCAUGAGGAUUUAACUAAUUAUCACCUAAUUAUUUUAGCAUUAUUAUUUAAUUAUUAAUUAAGGGUAUAAUAAUAUUUUAUUCAAACUUUAUCCAAAUGCCACCAAAUUUUGUGUGAAGCCAGGGAAUAAUAUUCAGAGACUCCCCACAAAUUUUGGUGAUUUUUGGACAUAUUAAUAAAUUAUUAAAAUUCAUAGAAGUUUUAGUUGCUAAUUAAAAGAGGCAAUUUUUAUACACAUGCAAACUACCAGAAAAUAGAACCUAUUAUUUUUCCUAUGUUCUAUCCAUUUUAUGAAAUCCAUACAAAAAUUUCCAUGAUUUUUGAGUCAGUAUACAAUUUUCUACACAAUUCUACAAAUCAAGCAUUUUUAAGCAAAAAGAAAAAAGGAAAAACACACUGCUACGCGGGUGGCCUGCUUGGACCCGGCCCAAGACGGCCCGCGAGCUUCCCGCGUCGCGCGCGGGCGUUGCCCUCCUCACACGGCCACUGACGGGCGGGUCCCGCCCGUCAGAUUCUCCUUCCACCUCCCGUCGCGGCUCCGACGAGCUCAAGCUCAUCGCCGGUGAGCUCCCGGCCUCCGCGGUAGGGUGGGCUAGCACCUUCGGCCUCUCGCGCAACCCUUGGGACACACGGGACAAUCCCUACUCCCUCCUAACCCUCCUGCUCACGUCCACGGCGGACGGCGGCACUAACCGCGCGAGCACCUGAUGUGAACCCACUAGGGUUUUCGCCUGAUCUUUCGAUGAGAGGCGCUGGAUAACUCGAUUAGUGAAUGGAGAUGACGUUCACGGCCCGACUACAGCCUUCUAAGGCCGCGCCUUAGCAACCGAUACACCGCCUCCAAUGGCUGUCACGAUCUUGUGGAGCGCAACACCCGGCCACUAGGGCACUCGUCCUGCAAGCAAUCGAAGAACCAGCAAGAACAAGUAGAACAAGUACUAAAAUACUAGAUGUAAAUGAAGGUUUCAAACUCAAUCUCUAAUGAAGUGGGGUUUCGAAAACAAGAAGACGGGCGGCUAGAUCAGCACGCGCGUUUACAAGCAAGUAGCGAAGGCUAAACUUUAUCUAAUCAAAACCCAGUUGUUCAUGGCGGCUCUAGAUGUAAAUAAAUAGAGGGGAGGACGACCAAAGGGGUGCUAGAGUCGUCCUCCAACCCUAGGACGCGUCCCUAAUGGACUCAACUUGAUACAUGGGCCAUUGGUCCAAAAUAGGGUGACGCAGCACCAAAACAGAAAAAGGUGUCGGCACGAAAACAAGGACUGCGCCCGACUCAUAAGCUGCAUAGAUAUGUGGUAGGACCCAUUGGAAAGUAGACUUCAUGAGCUUUCCAACAAGUAUAGGAACGUCCUAGUUGGAGUCCAUAUGACGCCGUGGUGAUCCAUACAAGUUAGAGUUAUUUUCCAGUCCGAAUCCAACUCCCAAAACGUGUUGGGUUUGGACUCUUUGUUUCCUUGCUUAGAAGCAACGUGGUAACUUGAUAGAGGAUGUUGUGGAGGCUUGGACCUGAUCUCCAAUCACCUUUGUUAAGUUAUCACUCUUCCCAUAUGCAAUCAGCCCUUGAAGUUGGUGUUGCCUCAAAUUCUGAAUGCAGUUGAACCUUCCCUUGCUGAUCUUGUCCAUUAUUCUUGAAGGUUGAGUUGACGGGCACGAGCACGAGUAAGAGGACCAGCUAUAGGUUGUGUCGGAGAGGAUGUAGGACCAGCUAUAGGUUGUGUCGGAGAUGUAGGACCAGUGUCGGAGAGGAUGUAGGAGAGGAUGUAUCGCUGGUGUUGAUGUCCUCAUCAUCCUCCCUUUCUUGCAUUUGAGUCGUCCUCGACUCAAGCUCAUCUUCCUCACCCAAAUAAGGCUUCAAAUCUGCAAUGUUAAAUGUGGGACUAACCCCAAAAUCUGCAGGAAGAUCAAGCUUAUAUGCAUUCUCAUUAAUUCGUUGCAGCACUUUAAAAGGACCAUCAGCUCUAGGCAUCAAUUUGGAUUUUCUCAGUUCUGGAAAUCUAUCUUUUCGCAAAUGCAACCAAACCAAAUCCCCAGGUUCCAGAAUCAAUUGCUUUCUACCUUUAUCUCCAGCACAUUUGUACUUAGCAUUCAUGCGCUCUAUGUUUUGUUUAGUGGCUUCAUGCAAUGUUAACAUCAAUUCAGCACGUUGCUUAGCAUCAAAAUUUAUUUUUUCAGAACUUGGCAAAGGCAUGACUAACCACUCAUACAAACCGAACUUAGUUUUGAAAGCAGUUUUCCAUUCAUCUCCCAAUUUCAUACGAAUCUGGUGGUACCCACUACGUAAAUCAACUUUUGAAAACACAACAGCACCACUCAGUUCAUCUAGCAUAUCAUCUAAUCGUGGAAUAGGGUGUCGAUAUCGAAUGGUGAUAUUAUUAAUAGCUCUACAAUCAACACACAUACGCCAUGUUCCAUCUUUCUUAGGCACUAAAAUUACUGGAACAGCACAAGGACUAAGAGAUUCUCGGACAUAACCUUUGUCUAGUAGUUCUUGCACUUGUCGCUGAAUUUCCUUUGUUUCCUCCGGGUUUGUCCUGUAUGGUGCACGAGUUGGCAAAACUGCUCCAGGAAUAAGAUCAAUUUGGUGCUCAAUCCCGCGUAGUGGAGGCAGCCCCGCUGGUACCUCACUUGGAAACACAUCAGAAUACUCCUGCAAAAAGUUAGCAACAGCAGGGGGCAAAGAACAUUGCAUAUCCUCAAUGAAAAUCAAAGCAUCCUUGCAUAUCAAAGCAUAAGCAACUGAAGUGGAUGCAUUGAACUCAUUAAUAUCUGAUUUGGUAGCUAUCAUACAACGUCCUUUCAGUUUUAUCUCAUCUUUGUUACCAAUUACAGAUUUAUCAUUUAUAUUGCUCUUGCUCUUUGCUUUAGUAGCCCUAGCAACAUCAGUUUGCAUAAUAGUUUCAGGGGACAUAGGAUGCAACACAAUUUUGCGAUCAUGGUAUAGAAAAGAAUACUGAUUUGAUCUACCAUGAUGCAUAGAAUCUCUAUCAAAUUGCCAAGGUCUACCUAGCAGAAUGUUACAAGCUUGCAUAGGCACAACAUCACAUUCAACAAUAUCUUUGUAGGAUCCGAUGGAAAAAUUAAUUCUCAUAAGUCUAGUUACCUUUGCCUUACCACUGUUGUUCAGCCAUUGGAUGUAGUAGGGAUGCGGGUGUGGUUUGGUGUUGAGGGCAAGCUUCUGCACCAUAUCGCUGCUUGCCAAGUUGUUGCAGCUACCUCCAUCAAUGAUCAUGCGACAAGAACGCUCUUUGAUGACACACUUUGUUUGGAAUAAAAUGUGUCGCUGAUUUUGCUCCGCCAUCUCCAUUUGUGCACUAAGCACUCGCUGCACGAUCAAGCUCUCAUAGUGGUCCGCUUCACCUGCAUUAAUAUGUUCUUCUAUUUGAUCUUCAUUACCUGCAUGGUCAGUCGCAAGCAGUGCAAGUGUAUCCUCAUCAAAAUCACUAGCAGAUGAGUACUCACCAUCAUCCCUGACAAUCAUAACUCGCUUGUUUGGGCAGUCACGCAUCAUGUGCCCAUAUCCCUUGCACCGAUGACAUUGUAUGUUGCUUGUUCUACCCGUCGAUGCCACGGAUGAAGUACUCGCAGCAGGCUUUUGCAUCGUCUUCGCAACUGAAUUGGUGGGGGCAGCUCGAGUCUUGUCACUAGAUGAUGGAGUAGAAAUACGUGUAGAUGGAGUUGAAGCCAUGUGUUGCUGCCAUGAUUUAGCCUUCCAUGCAGAAAUAUUACUCCUUGCGCUAGCACGUCGUCCCUGCACUUCCCUUUCAGCUUUACAAGCAAGAUGAAACAAACGGGUUACAUUAUUGUAUUCUUUGUAAGCGAGGAUGUCCUGAAUUUCCCGAUUUAACCCACCCAAAAAUCUAGCCAUAGCCGGUUCCUCAUCCUCCUCUAGGUUACAACGCAACAUACCCGUUUGUAAUUCCUGAUAAUAUUCUUCUACACUUUUAGCACCUUGUCUUAAUUGCUGCAACUUAUUUAUCAUAUCACGCGCAUAGUAAGAUGGAACAAAUCUAGCUCUCAUGGCCCUUUUUAGCGCAUCCCAAGUUCUAGGUAAGUUAUUAGGAUUUUUCUUUCCAUAUUCUAUCCACCAAACAGAAGCAAAAUCUGUAAACUCACUAGUAGCAGCCCUAACACGUGUAGUCUCAGGAAAUUCAUGACAUGCAAACUUUUGAUCAACAGCAAUCUCCCAAGUGAUGUAAGCAUCAGGGUCAUAUUUACCAUCAAAAGGAGGUAUCUUAAAUUUAAUCUUACUGAAAGCAUCAUCAUUAUUGUGCAUCUUGCGUCGGCGGUUGCCACCCAUACCUCUACGGUUGUGACGAAGGCGACGUCGAUCACGAGUGUCUUGAUCAUCAUGUUCAGUAUCACCAGUGUAGUCAUCUUCAUGACUACCGUGCUCUCGAUCUCCCUCCUUUUCUUCUUUAUGCUUCUCUUUAUCUUCGGUGUGGAAAUCAUCAAAUCGCCUUAGGAGAGCAGCAAGGCUUUUGUCCACACUAGCAACGGAUUCCUCCAAACGUGUGAGCUUGUUGUUUCUGGCAAUCUGCGUAGCCUCCAACUGCCCCAGCUUUUCAUUUGUCACCUGCAAGUCGUUAUCAAGUUCUUCUGUGUGCAGCUUCACUUUCCUUUCAAAAUGUUGUAUGAUGCCCUUAGUGCGAGGUGUAAGUGGUGUUUCGUUACCAUCAUCUGCCCCUGGCAUGGUUCAAAGACAAAGACAACAAAAAGGCAAGUGAAGAAAUAAAAGCCCUACAACUACUAGGAUGUAGCUACAGCAAGUCGCUCACACUCAACCUGUAACACAAGUUCUUACCAAUUCUUACCUUGCUUGACAGGAGGGGUCGUCUGCCAACAAGUGUACAGCAAUGGACGAAGUGUAUCGGUGCUGCAGCACAAGACCUGUCAAGCUGUAGAGUAUGUGGAGCUAUAGGUGGUCUGAAACAAGGAACGAACUAGCACCACGUUAGUUAUAAAAGCGAGCUGAAUAAACGCUCAACGGUGGUACUGUGCUGGUCCUAGCCUAGACCGUGCUAGAGACGCGAGCCUGGACACAAAGGGAAAACACAGCACACCACUAGAAACAAAAUGAGCAGCCCUACUGGAAACAAAAGGAACAACAAUCCCUUUUUUUGAUUUUUUUUUCUUUUUUUUCUUUCUUUUUUUUUUCUUUUUUUUUCUUUCUCUUUUCUUUUUCUUUGGAACCUCAAAACCUGAUUAUAUAAACAAAAUAGUACAAAAUAUCACUUCACCACUCUCACCCUCUCACUAGAGUAAGGCUGAACCUCAAAAUUCAAUGUAUCUAGCACAAGUAUGAAGUGCUAUCUUUCCUUUUGGAUCACGUUGAUGGAAACGCAGAAUAGACCAACAAGUGGCUGCACCUAUUAUCAAGAUCUACUCAAAUUCCAACCCACAAUAAAUUGGACGCAGUUGUGACUAGAUGGUGACAAGAACUCAAAACUCUAAAGGACUAAACUAAAACCAGCACUGGACACGACCGAAGCAAACACUCAUUCAACCAGCCCUAACUAAGUAGUACUAGCCACGGCACAAAGGAUUUAUAGGAUUAUGGAAAACAAAUCUGCUAUAUUUUUUGUCUUUUUUUGGACUAUAGGAAAAACAAACACGAAGAAUUGGAAAUCUCUCACCGAUAAACCUUGCUCUGAUUACCAACUGAUGUGAACCCACUAGGGUUUUCGCCUGAUCUUUCGAUGAGAGGCGCUGGAUAACUCGAUUAGUGAAUGGAGAUGACGUUCACGGCCCGACUACAGCCUUCUAAGGCCGCGCCUUAGCAACCGAUACACCGCCUCCAAUGGCUGUCACGAUCUUGUGGAGCGCAACACCCGGCCACUAGGGCACUCGUCCUGCAAGCAAUCGAAGAACCAGCAAGAACAAGUAGAACAAGUACUAAAAUACUAGAUGUAAAUGAAGGUUUCAAACUCAAUCUCUAAUGAAGUGGGGUUUCGAAAACAAGAAGACGGGCGGCUAGAUCAGCACGCGCGUUUACAAGCAAGUAGCGAAGGCUAAACUUUAUCUAAUCAAAACCCAGUUGUUCAUGGCGGCUCUAGAUGUAAAUAAAUAGAGGGGAGGACGACCAAAGGGGUGCUAGAGUCGUCCUCCAACCCUAGGACGCGUCCCUAAUGGACUCAACUUGAUACAUGGGCCAUUGGUCCAAAAUAGGGUGACGCAGCACCAAAACAGAAAAAGGUGUCGGCACGAAAACAAGGACUGCGCCCGACUCAUAAGCUGCAUAGAUAUGUGGUUGGACUCAUUGGAAAGUAGACUUCAUGAGCUUUCCAACAAGUAUAGGAACGUCCCAGUUGGAGUCCAUAUGACGCCGUGGUGAUCCAUACAAGUUAGAGUUAUUUUCCAGUCCGAAUCCAACUCCCAAAACGUGUUGGGUUUGGACUCUUUGUUUCCUUGCUUUAGAAGCGACGUGGUAACUUGAUAGAGGAUGUUGUGGAGGCUUGGACCUGAUCUCCAAUCACCUUUGUUAAGUUAUCACUCUUCCCAUAUGCAAUCAGCCCUUGAAGUUGGUGUUGCCUCAAAUUCUGAAUGCAGUUGAACCUUCCCUUGCUGAUCUUGUCCAUUAUUCUUGAAGGUUGAGUUGACGGGCACGAGCACGAGUAAGAGGACCAGCUAUAGGUUGUGUCGGAGAGGAUGUAGGACCAGCUAUAGGUUGUGUCGGAGAUGUACGACCAGUGUCGGAGAGGAUGUAUCGCUGGUGUUGAUGUCCUCAUCAGCACCGACCGUCACAAGUGGUUAGAACGUGAACCAACCAGCGCAUAAGCUUCAGGGGCUCACCGCGACUUCAACGAAGUAACGAGCGGCGCUGGAAAGGCUUGGAGCAGCUCUGGCCGCGGUGAAGCGCUUGCGGCGGUGCUUUGGCCGGAGUUGGGAACGACGGCUCGGUUGCGGCUUAUGGGGGCUUAGAGCUUGCGUUAGGGGGCGCAAUCGGUGGCGGAGCUCAGGGCGGAGCUGCUGGUGUGCUCAAGUGGCUUGGAAAGGAAGCGGGUGAGGCGAAUUUGGGGAGCGGAGUAAGUUCGUCGGCGUUGAGUGGAAAGGAAGAAAAUGAGGCGGCCGCGCAGUGGGAUCACCGAGGGGAGUGGAUGAGCAUGCCGGGGGCUCGUCCACAUCACGGCGGGCUCGCGCAACCAAGCAGCUGCGUGGCCAGGCACGUGGCGGCGCUGGACGUAGCGGCUCUGCCCCGGCGGCAGAGCAUCCCCCCCUGCUCAGCACUGUAGCAAGCUCUUAUCCAAACAGUUUUGGGGUUUUGCAAAAUUCGCCCAAAUUUUGAACUGAAGACAAAAUUCCACCAAAAUGAAAGUUGUGUAGAAUUUCAAAAGCUACAAAACAUCUGUUGGUGACCAAAGCUAAUUCUGAGUGGAAAUUGGUGAUUUUAACAAAACAGUUUGAAAUUCAAAACUCAAUUCAAGGAAAUUCAAAUUUUUGAAUUGGGGCAGAUCAGAAUUUCCAAAAUUACUUUUGAUUUUCCAUAACAACUUGAAAAACUCCCAACAUGAAAGUUGUUCAACUUUUUGAGCUCUACAACUUUCAUGUUGGUCACUUUUCAAAAUUCCAAAUAGAUUUUAAAUUGGAGACUCCAAUUGGAAAAGGGGACACUUUCUGGAAAUCUGUAUUUUCAAAAUUACUUUGAAUUUUGUAUUGAAACUUCAAAAACUCAAAACACCAAAGCUGUACAUCUUGACAAGAUCUACAACUUUGCUUUUGAACUCAACCUCAAAUUUUGCUUGGUUUUUAAAUUGUGCAAAAGGGGGCAAUUCUAGGGUUCAAAAUUCAGGGUUCCCCCCCCCCUAAUCUCUCGGAAAUCUUUCACCCUAGGGUUUGAACAACCAACACAAGCAUCAAUACAUAAUAUAAUCUCACUUUAGAUCCCUAAGCACAAGCAACCAAAGUAAACUUGUUUGAAGUUGGUGCAUCAAAUUGUGCUUAACAAAUAUGCCAUGCAAUGCUUAUGAUGACAUGAUCCAAUUUUAGUAACCGUAACAUCGGGGAUGUUACAUGCAAGAUAGGUGCAUGAUUUGCAAGGAACAUACCAUAUGCUUAGAAAUCAAUUUAGACACACCCAAUGGAACUCCUAGAUGACGUGUGUCAUAUGGAAUCUCGCUUCGGUCUGUUUGGAGACAAUGUUAGUUUCAGAGCAAGAUAGGUGCAUAGUUUGUGCCUAAUGCACCAUAGUCUAAGAAACCAUUUUUGACGCACCUGUUUGUACUCCUAGAUGAAGAAGAUCAAGUGGAAGCUCGGUUCGGUCUGUUUGGAGAUAGUGCUAAUCUUGAUGCAAGAUAGGCGCACGGUUUGCAUGGAACAUACCAUAUGCUUGGAAAUCAAUUUGGAUGCACCCGAUGGAACUCCUUGAUGACGUGUGUCAUAUGGAAUCUCGCUUUGGUCUGUUUAGAAACAGUGUUAGUUUCGGUGUAAGAUAUGUGCAUGGUUUGCGCCUAAUGCACCAUAGUCUAAGAAACCAUUUUGGAUGCACCUGUUGAUACUUCGUUGAAGAGGAUCAAGUGGAAGCUCGGUUUGAUCUGUUUAGAGAUUGUGCUAAUCUUGAUGCAAGAUAGGUGCAUGAUUUGCAAGGAACAUACCAUAUGCUUAGAAAUCAAUUUGGACGCACCCAAUGGAACUCUUAGAUGACAUGUGUCAUAUGGAAUCUUGCUUUGGUCUGUUUGUAGACAAUGUAAGUUUUAGUGCAAGAUAGGUGUAUAGUUUGCGCUUAAUGCACCAUAGUCUAAGAAACCAUUUUGGACGCACUAUUUGGUACUACUGGGUGAAGAGCCUCAAGUGGAAGCUUGGUUCGGUCAGUUUUGAGAUAGUGCUAAUCCUUAUGCAAGGUUGGUGCAUGGUUUGCUUGGAACAUACCAUAUGCUUCAAUAUCAAUUUGGAUGCACCCGAUGGAACUCCUUGAUGACGUGUGUCAUAUGGAAUCUCACUUUGGUCUGUUUAGAAACAGUGUUAGUUUCGGUGCAAGAUAUGUGCAUGGUUUGCACCUAAUGCACCAUAGUCUAAGAAACCAUUUUGGAAGCACCUGUUGGUACUUCGGUGAAGAGGAUCAAGUGAAUGCUCGGUUUGAUCUAUUUGGAGAUAGUGCUAAUCUUGAUGCAAGAUAGGUGCAUGAUUUGCAAGGAACAUACCAUAUGCUUAGAAAUCAAUUUGGACGCACCCAAUGGAACUCCUAGUUGACGUGUGUCAUAUGGAAUCUUGCUUCGGUCCGUUUGUAGAUAUUGUAAGUUUUAGUGCAAGAUAGGUGCACAGUUUGCGCCUAAUGCACCAUAGUCUAAAAAAUCAUUUUGGACGCACAACUUGGUACUCUUGGGUGAAGAGGCUCAAGUGGAAGCUUGGUUCGGUCAGUUUGGAGAUAGUGCUAAUCCUUAUGCAAGGUAGGUGCAUGGUUUGCAUGGAACAUACCAUAUGCAUGGAAAUCAAUUUGGAUGCACCCGAUGGAACUCUUUGAUGAUGUGUGUCAUAUGGAAUCUCGCUUCGGUCCAUUUGGAGACAUUUUUAGUUUUAGUGCAACAUAGGUGCAAGGUUUGCAUAUAAUGCAGCAUAGGCUAAGAAACCAUUUUGGAAGCACCUGUUGGUACUCCUAGGUGAAGAGGCCCAAGUCGAGGCUCGGUUCGGUCUGUUAUUGUUAGUUUCGGUGCAAGAUAGGUGCACAGUUUGCACCUAAUGCACCAUAGUCUAAGAAACCAUUUUGGACGCACUUGUUGGUACUCCUAGGUGAAGGGGCUCAAGUGGUUGCUCAGUUUGGUCUGUUUGGAGAUAGUGCUAAUCUUGAUUCAAGAUAGGUGCACGGUUUGCUUGGAACAUACCAAAUGCUUGGAAAUCAAUCUGGACGCACAUGAUGGAACUCCUAGAUGACGUGUGUCAUACAAAAUCUUGCUUUGGUCUGUUUGGAGACAGCGUUAGUUUUGGUGCAAGAAGGUGCAAGGUUUGCACAUAAUGCAGUAUAGGCUAAGAAACCAUUUUGGACGCACCCGAUGGUACUCCUAGGUAAAAGGCUCAAGUGAAAGCUCGAUUUGGUCUAUUUUGAGAUAGUGCUAAUCUUGAUGCAAGAUAGAUGCACGGUCUACAUGGAAUGAACCAUGUGCUUAGAAAUUAAUUUGGACACACCCGAUAGAACUCCUUGAUGACGUGUGUCAUAUGGAAUCUCGCUUUGGUGUGCUUGGAGAUAGUAUUAGUUUCAGUGCAAGAUAUGUGCACGGUUUGCGCCCGAUGCACAAAAGUCUAAGAAUCCAUUUUGGAAGCGUGCAAGAUAGGUGCACAGUUUGCACCUAAUACACCAUAGUCUAAGAAACCAUUUUGGACACAUUUGUUGGUACUCCUAGGUGAAGGGGCUCAAGUGGAUGCUAGGUUUGGUCUGUUUGGAGAUAGUGCUAAUCUUGAUGCAAGAUAGAUGCAUGGUUUGCAUGGAACAUACGAUAUGCUUAGAAAUCAAUUAGGACGCACCUGAUAUAACUCCUUGAUGAUUUGUGUCAUAUGGAAUCUUGCUUUGGUUCGUUUACAGACAGUGUUAGUUUUGGUAGAAGAAAUGCGCACGGUUUACGCCUAAAGCACCAUAGGCUAAGAAACCAUUUUAGACGCACCCGAUGGUACUCGUAGUUGAAGAGGCUCAAGUGGAGGCUCGAUUUGGUCUGUUCGGAUAUAGUGCUAAUCUUGAUGCAAGAUAGUUGCACAGUUCGCAUGCAACGUACCAUAUGUUAAGAAAUCAAAUUGGACGCACCCAAUGGAACCCAAUGCAAGAUGACGUGUGUCACAUGGAAUCUCGCUUCGGUCUGUUUGGAGACAAUGUUAGUUUCAGUGCAAGAUAGGUGCAUAGUUUGUGCGUAAUGCACCAUAGUCUAAGAAACCAUUUCUGACACACUUGUUUGUACUCCUAGAUGAAGAGGCUCAAGUGGAAGCUCGGUUCGGUUUGUUUGGAGAUAGUACUAAUCUUGGUGCAAGAUAGGGGCACGGUUUGCAUGGAACAUACCAUAUCCUUGGAAAUCAAUUUGGAUGCACCCGAUGGAACUCCUUGAUGACGUGUGUCAUAUGGAAUCUCACUUUGGUCUGUUUAGAAAUAGUGUUAGUUUCGGUGCAAGAUAUGUGCAUGGUUUGCGCCUAAUGCACCAUAGUGUAAGAAACCAUUUUGGAAGCACCUGUUGGUACUUCAGUGAAGAGGCUCAAGUGGAAGCUCGAUUUGAUAUGUUUGGAGAUAGUGCUAAUCUUGAUGCAAGAUAGGUGCAUGAUUUGCAAGGAACAUACCAUAUGCAUAGAAAUCAAUUUGGACGCACCCAAUGGAACUCCUAAAUGACGUGUGCCAUAUGGAAUCUUGCUUCGGUUCGUUUGUAGACAAUGUAAGUUUUAGUGCAAGAUAGGUGCACAGUUUGCGCCUAAUGCACCAUAGUCUAAGAAACCAUUUUGGAUGCACAAUUUGGUACUCUUAGGUGAAGAGGCUCAACUAGAAGCUUGGUUCGGUCAGUUUGGAGAUAGUGCUAAUCCUUAUGCAAGGUAGGUGCAUGGUUUGCAUGGAACAUACCAUAUGCUUGGAAAUCAAUUUGGAUGCACCCGAUGGAACUCUUUGACGAUGUGUGUCAUAUGGAACCUCGCUUCAGUCCAUUUGGAGACAUUGUUAGUUUCUGUGCAAGAUAGGUGCACAGUUUGCACCUAAUGCACCAUAGUCUAAGAAACCAUUUUGGACGCACUUGUUGGUACUCCUAGGUGAAGGGGCUCAAGUUGAUGCUCGGUUCGGUCUGUUUAGAGAUAGUGCUAAUCUUGAUGCAAGAUAGGUGCACGGUUUGCAUCGAACAUACCAUAUGCUUGGAAAUCAAUUUGGAUGCACCCGAUGGAACUCCUUGAUGACGUCUGUCAUAUGGAAUCUCACUUUGGUGUGCUUAGAGAUAAUAGUAUUAGUUUCAGUGCAAGAUAUGUGCACGGUUUGCGCCUAAUGCACCAAUGUCUAAGAAACCAUUUUGGAAGCACCUGUUGGUACUCCUAGGUGAAGAGGCUCAAGUGGAGCCUCGGUUCGGUCUGUUUAGAGAUAGUGCUAGUCUUGAUGCAAGAUAGGUGCAUGAUUUGCAUGAAACAUACCAUAUGCUUGGAAAUCAAUUUGGAUGCACCCGAUGGAACUCCUUGAUGACGUGUGUCAUUUGGAAUCUCGCUUCGGUCCAUAAGGAGACAUUGUUAGUUUCGGUGCAAGAUAGGUGCAUAGUUUGCACCUAAUGCACCAUAGUCUAAGAAACCAUUUUGGAUGCAUUUGUUGGUACUCCUAGGUGAAGGGGCUCAAGUGGAUGCUAGGUUUGGUCUGUUUGGAGAUAGUGCUAAUCUUGAUGCAAGAUAGAUGCAUGGUUUGCAUGGAACAUACAAUAUGCUUAGAAAUCAAUUAGGACGCACCUGAUAUAACUCCUUGAUGAUUUGUGUCAUAUGGAAUCUUGCUUUGGUUCGUUUAGAGACAGUGUUAGUUUUGGUAGAAGAUAUGUGCACGGUUUACGCCUAAUGCACCAUAGGCUAAGAAACCAUUUUAGACGCACCCGAUGGUACUCGUAGUUGAAGAGGCUCAAGUGGAGGCUCGAUUUGGUAUGUUCGGAUAUAGUGCUAAUCUUGAUGCAAGAUAGUUGCACAGUUUGCAUGCAACGUACCAUAUGUUAAGGAAUCAAAUUGGAUGCACCCAAUGGAACCCAAUGAAAGAUGACGUGUGCCAUAUGGAAUCUCGCUUCGGUCCGUUUGGGGACAAUGUUAGUUUCAGUGCAAGCUAGGUGCAUAGUUUGUGCGUAAUGCACCAUAGUCUAAGCAACCAUUUUUGACACACAUGUUUGUACUCCUAGAUGAAGAGGCUCAAGUGGAAGCUCGGUUCGGUUUGUUUGGAGAUAGUGCUAAUCUUGGUGCAAGAUAGGGGCACGGUUUGCAUGGAACAUACCAUAUCCUUGGAAAUCAAUUUGGAUGCACCCGAUGGAACUCCUUGAUGACGUGUGUCAUAUGGAAUCUCACUUUGGUCUGUUUAGAAAUAGUGUUAGUUUCGGUGCAAGAUAUGUGCAUGGUUUGCGCCUAAUGCACCAUAGUGUAAGAAACCAUUUUGGAAGCACCUGUUGGUACUUCAGUGAAGAGGCUCAAGUGGAAGCUCGAUUUGAUAUGUUUGGAGAUAGUGCUAAUCUUGAUGCAAGAUAGGUGCAUGAUUUGCAAAGAACAUACCAUAUGCAUAGAAAUCAAUUUGGACGCACCCAAUGGAACUCCUAAAUGACGUGUGCCAUAUGGAAUCUUGCUUCGGUUCGUUUGUAGACAAUGUAAGUUUUAGUGCAAGAUAGGUGCACAGUUUGCGCCUAAUGCACCAUAGUCUAAGAAACCAUUUUGGAUGCACAAUUUGGUACUCUUAGGUGAAGAGGCUCACCUAGAAGCUUGGUUCGGUCAGUUUGGAGAUAGUGCUAAUCCUUAUGCAAGGUAGGUGCAUGGUUUGCAUGGAACAUACCAUAUGCUUGGAAAUCAAUUUGGAUGCACCCGAUGGAACUCUUUGACGAUGUGUGUCAUAUGGAACCUCCNNNNNNNNNNNNNNNNNNNNNNNNNNNNNNNNNNNNNNNNNNNNNNNNNNNNNNNNNNNNNNNNNNNNNNNNNNNNNNNNNNNNNNNNNNNNNNNNNNNNNNNNNNNNNNNNNNNNNNNNNNNNNNNNNNNNNNNNNNNNNNNNNNNNNNNNNNNNNNNNNNNNNNNNNNNNNNNNNNNNNNNNNNNNNNNNNNNNNNNNNNNNNNNNNNNNNNNNNNNNNNNNNNNNNNNNNNNNNNNNNNNNNNNNNNNNNNNNNNNNNNNNNNNNNNNNNNNNNNNNNNNNNNNNNNNNNNNNNNNNNNNNNNNNNNNNNNNNNNNNNNNNNNNNNNNNNNNNNNNNNNNNNNNNNNNNNNNNNNNNNNNNNNNNNNNNNNNNNNNNNNNNNNNNNNNNNNNNNNNNNNNNNNNNNNNNNNNNNNNNNNNNNNNNNNNNNNNNNNNNNNNNNNNNNNNNNNNNNNNNNNNNNNNNNNNNNNNNNNNNNNNNNNNNNNNNNNNNNNNNNNNNNNNNNNNNNNNNNNNNNNNNNNNNNNNNNNNNNNNNNNNNNNNNNNNNNNNNNNNNNNNNNNNNNNNNNNNNNNNNNNNNNNNNNNNNNNNNNNNNNNNNNNNNNNNNNNNNNNNNNNNNNNNNNCAGUGGAGCCUCGGUUCGGUCUGUUUAGAGAUAGUGCUAGUCUUGAUGCAAGAUAGGUGCAUGAUUUGCAUGAAACAUACCAUAUGCUUCGAAAUCAAUUUGGAUGCACCCGAUGGAACUCCUUGAUGACGUGUGUCAUUUGGAAUCUCGCUUCGGUCCAUAAGGAGACAUUGUUAGUUUCGGUGCAAGAUAGGUGCAUAGUUUGCACCUAAUGCACCAUAGUCUAAGAAACCAUUUUGGAUGCAUUUGUUGGUACUCCUAGGUGAAGGGGCUCAAGUGGAUGCUAGGUUUGGUCUGUUUGGAGAUAGUGCUAAUCUUGAUGCAAGAUAGAUGCAUGGUUUGCAUGGAACAUACAAUAUGCUUAGAAAUCAAUUAGGACGCACCUGAUAUAACUCCUUGAUGAUUUGUGUCAUAUGGAAUCUUGCUUUGGUUCGUUUAGAGACAGUGUUAGUUUUGGUAGAAGAUAUGUGCACGGUUUACACCUAAUGCACCAUAGGCUAAGAAACCAUUUUAGACGCACCCGAUGGUACUCGUAGUUGAAGAGGCUCAAGUGGAGGCUCGAUUUGGUAUGUUCGGAUAUAGUGCUAAUCUUGAUGCAAGAUAGUUGCACAGUUUGCAUGCAACGUACCAUAUGUUAAGGAAUCAAAUUGGAUGCACCCAAUGGAACCCAAUGAAAGAUGACGUGUGCCAUAUGGAAUCUCGCUUCGGUCCGUUUGGAGACAAUGUUAGUUUCAGUGCAAGCUAGGUGCAUAGUUUGUGCGUAAUGCACCAUAGUCUAAGCAACCAUUUUUGACACACAUGUUUGUACUCCUAGAUGAAGAGGCUCAAGUGGAAGCUCGGUUCGGUUUGUUUGGAGAUAGUGCUAAUCUUGGUGCAAGAUAGGGGCACGAUUUGCAUGGAACAUACCAUAUCCUUGGAAAUCAAUUUGGAUGCACCCGAUGGAACUCCUUGAUGACGUGUGUCAUAUGGAAUCUCACUUUGGUCUGUUUAGAAAUAGUGUUAGUUUCGGUGCAAGAUAUGUGCAUGGUUUGCGCCUAAUGCACCAUAGUGUAAGAAACCAUUUUGGAAGCACCUGUUGGUACUUCAGUGAAGAGGCUCAAGUGGAAGCUCGAUUUGAUAUGUUUGGAGAUAGUGCUAAUCUUGAUGCAAGAUAGGUGCAUGAUUUGCAAAGAACAUACCAUAUGCAUAAAAAUCAAUUUGGACGCACCCAAUGGAACUCCUAAAUGACGUGUGCCAUAUGGAAUCUUGCUUCGGUUCGUUUGUAGACAAUGUAAGUUUUAGUGCAAGAUAGGUGCACAGUUUGCGCCUAAUGCACCAUAGUCUAAGAAACCAUUUUGGAUGCACAAUUUGGUACUCUUAGGUGAAGAGGCUCAACUAGAAGCUUGGUUCGGUCAGUUUGGAGAUAGUGCUAAUCCUUAUGCAAGGUAGGUGCAUGGUUUGCAUGGAACAUACCAUAUGCUUGGAAAUCAAUUUGGAUGCACCCGAUGGAACUCUUUGACGAUGUGUGUCAUAUGGAACCUCGCUUCAGUCCAUUUGGAGACAUUGUUAGUUUCUGUGCAAGAUAGGUGCACAGUUUGCACCUAAUGCACCAUAGUCUAAGAAACCAUUUUGGACGCACUUGUUGGUACUCCUAGGUGAAGGGGCUCAAGUUGAUGCUCGGUUCGGUCUGUUUAGAGAUAGUGCUAAUCUUGAUGCAAGAUAGGUGCACGGUUUGCAUCGAACAUACCAUAUGCUUGGAAAUCAAUUUGGAUGCACCCGAUGGAACUCCUUGAUGACGUCUGUCAUAUGGAAUCUCACUUUGGUGUGCUUAGAGAUAAUAGUAUUAGUUUCAGUGCAAGAUAUGUGCACGGUUUGCGCCUAAUGCACCAAAGUCUAAGAAACCAUUUUGGAAGCACCUGUUGGUACUCCUAGGUGAAGAGGCUCAAGUGGAGCCUCGGUUCGGUCUGUUUAGAGAUAGUGCUAGUCUUGAUGCAAGAUAGGUGCAUGAUUUGCAUGAAACAUACCAUAUGCUUGGAAAUCAAUUUGGAUGCACCCGAUGGAACUCCUUGAUGACGUGUGUCAUUUGGAAUCUCGCUUCGGUCCAUAAGGAGACAUUGUUAGUUUCGGUGCAAGAUAGGUGCAUAGUUUGCACCUAAUGCACCAUAGUCUAAGAAACCAUUUUGGAUGCAUUUGUUGGUACUCCUAGGUGAAGGGGCUCAAGUGGAUGCUAGGUUUGGUCUGUUUGGAGAUAGUGCUAAUCUUGAUGCAAGAUAGAUGCAUGGUUUGCAUGGAACAUACAAUAUGCUUAGAAAUCAAUUAGGACGCACCUGAUAUAACUCCUUGAUGAUUUGUGUCAUAUGGAAUCUUGCUUUGGUUCGUUUAGAGACAGUGUUAGUUUUGGUAGAAGAUAUGUGCACGGUUUACACCUAAUGCACCAUAGGCUAAGAAACCAUUUUAGACGCACCCGAUGGUACUCGUAGUUGAAGAGGCUCAAGUGGAGGCUCGAUUUGGUAUGUUCGGAUAUAGUGCUAAUCUUGAUGCAAGAUAGUUGCACAGUUUGCAUGCAACGUACCAUAUGUUAAGGAAUCAAAUUGGAUGCACCCAAUGGAACCCAAUGAAAGAUGACGUGUGCCAUAUGGAAUCUCGCUUCGGUCCGUUUGGAGACAAUGUUAGUUUCAGUGCAAGCUAGGUGCAUAGUUUGUGCGUAAUGCACCAUAGUCUAAGCAACCAUUUUUGACACACAUGUUUGUACUCCUAGAUGAAGAGGCUCAAGUGGAAGCUCGGUUCGGUUUGUUUGGAGAUAGUGCUAAUCUUGGUGCAAGAUAGGGGCACGGUUUGCAUGGAACAUACCAUAUCCUUGGAAAUCAAUUUGGAUGCACCCGAUGGAACUCCUUGAUGACGUCUGUCAUAUAGAAUCUCACUUUGGUCUGUUUAGAAAUAGUUUUAGUUUCGGUGCAAGAUAUGUGCAUAGUUUGCGCCUAAUGCACCAUAGUCCAAGAAACCAUUUUGGAAGCACCUGUUGGUACUUCGGUGAAGAGGCUCAAGUGGAAGCUCGAUUUGAUAUGUUUAGAGAUAGUGCUAAUCCUAAUGCAAGAUAGGUGCAUGAUAUGCAAGGAACAUACCAUAUGCUUAGAAAUCAAUUUAGACGCACCCAAUGGAACUCCUAAAUGACGUGUGCCAUAUGGAAUCUUGCUUCGGUCCGUUUGUAGACAUUGUAAGUUUUAGUGCAAGAUAGGUGCACAGUUUGCGCCUAAUGCACCAUAGUCUAAGAAACCAUAUUGGAUGCACUAUUUGGUACUCUUGGGUGAAGAGGCUCAAGUGGAAGCUUGGUUCGGUUAGUUUGGAGAUAGUGCUAAUCCUUAUGCAAGGUAGGUGCAUGGUUUGCAUGGAACAUACCAUAUGCUUGGAAAUCAAUUUGGAUGCACCCGAUGGAACUCCUUGACGACGUGUGUCAUAUGGAAUCUCGAUUCGGUCCAUUUGGAGAAAUUGUUAGUUUCGGUGCAAGAUAGGUGCACAGUUUGCACCUAAUGCACCAUAGUCUAAGAAACCAUUUUGGACGCACUUGUUGGUACUCCUAGGUGAAGGGGCUCAAGUGGAUGCUCGGUUCGGUUUGUUUGGAGAUAGUGCUAAUCUUGAUGCAAGAUAGGUGCACGGUUUGCAUGGAACAUACCAUAUGCUUGGAAAUCAAUUUGGAUGCACCCGAUGGAACUCCUUGAUGACGUCUGUCAUAUGGAAUCUCACUUUGGUGUGCUUAGAGAUAGUAUUAGUUUCAGUGCAAGAUAUGUGCACGGUUUGCGCCCAAUGCACCACAGUCUAAGAAACAAUUUUGGAAGCACCUGUUGGUACUCCUAGGUGAAGAGGCUCAAGUGGAGGCUCGGUUCGGUCUGUUUAGAGAUAGUGCUAGUCUUGAUGCAAGAUAGGUGCAUGAAUUGCAUGGAACAUACCAUAUGCUUGGAAAUAAAUUUGGAUGCACCCGAUAGAACUCCUAGAUGACGUGUGUCAUUUGGAAUCUCGGUUCGGUCCCUUUGGAGACAUUGUUAGUUUCGGUGCAAGAUAGGUGCACAGUUUGCACCUAAUGCACCAUAGUAUAAGGAACCAUUUUGGACGCAUUUGUUGGUACUCCUAGGUGAAGGGGCUCAAGUGGAUGCUAGGUUUGGUCUGUUUGGAGAUAGUGGUAAUCUUGAUGCAAGAUAGAUGCAUGGUUUGCAUGCAACGUACCAUAUGUUAAGAAAUCAAAUUAGACGCACCCAAUGGAACCCAAUGCAAGAUGACGUGUGUCAUAUGGAAUCUCGCUUCGGUCCGUUUGGAGACAAUGUUAGUUUCAGUGCAAGAUAGGUGCAUAGUUUGUGCGUAAUGCACCAUAGUCUACGAAAUCAUUUUUGACACACUUGUUUGUACUCCUAGAUGAAGAGGCUCAAGUGGAAGCUCGGUUCGGACUGUUUGGAGAUAGUGCUAAUCUUGAUGCAAGAUAGGUGCACGGUUUGCAUGGAACAUACCAUAUCCUGGGAAAUCAAUUUGGAUGCACCCGAUGGAACUCCUUGAUGACGUGUGUCAUAUGGAAUCUCACUUUGGUCUGUUUAGAAAUAGUGUUAGUUUUGGUGCAAGAUAUGUGCAUGGUUUGCGCCUAAUGCACCAUAGUCUAAGAAACCAUUUUGGAAGCACCUGUUGGUACUUCGGUGAAGAGGCUCAAGUGGAAGCUCGAUUGGAUAUGUUUGGAGAUAGUGCUAAUCAUGAUGCAAGAUAGGUCCAUGAUUUGCAAGGAACAUACCAUAUGCUUAGAAAUCAAUUUGGACGCACCAAAUGGAACUCCUGAAUGACGUGUGCCAUAUGGAAUCUUGCUUCGGUCCAUUUGUAGACAUUGUAAGUUUUAGUGCAAGAUAGGUGCACAGUUUGCGCCUAAUGCACUAUAGUCUAAGAAACCAUUUUGGAUGCACUAUUUGGUACUCUUGGGUGAAGAGGCUCAAGUGGAAGCUUGGUUCGGUCAGUUUGGAGAUAGUGCUAAUCCUUAUGCAAGGUAGGUGCAUGGUUUGGAUCGAACAUACCAUAUGCUUGGAGAUCAAUUUGGAUGCACCCGAUGGAACUCCUUGACGACGUGUGUCAUAUGGAAUCUCGUUUUGAUCCAUUUGGAGAAAUUGUUAGUUUCAUUGCAAGAUAGGUGCACAGUUUGCACCUAAUGCACCAUAGUCUAAGAAACCAUUUUGGACGCACUUGUUGGUACUCCUAGGUGAAGGGGCUCAAGUGGAUGCUCGGUUCGGUCUAUUUGGAGAUAGUGCUAAUCUUGAUGCAAGAUAGGUGCGAUGUUUGCAUGGAACAUACCAUAUGCUUGGAAAUCAAUUUGGAUGCACCCGAUGGAACUCCUUGAUGACGUCUGUCAUAUGGAAUCUCACUUUGGUGUGCUUAGAGAUAGUAUUAGUUUCAGUGCAAGAUAUGUGCACGGUUUGCGCCUAAUGCACCAAAGUCUAAGAAACCAUUUUGGAAGCACCUAUUGGUACUCUUAGGUGAAGAGGCUCAAGUGGAGGCUCGGUUCGGUAUGUUUAGAGAUAGUGCUAGUCUUGAUGCAAGAUAGGUGCAUGAUUUGCAUGGAACAUACCAUAUGCUUGGAAAUCAAUUUGGAUGCACCCGAUGGAACUCCUUGAUGACGUGUGUCAUUUGCAAUCUCGCUUCGGUCCAUUUGGAGACAUUGUUAGUUUCAGUGCAAGAUAGGUGCACAGUUUGCACCUAAUGCACCAUAGUCUAAGAAACCAUUUUGGACGCAUUUGUUGGUAUUCCUAGGUGAAGAGGCUCAAGUGGAUGCUAGGUUUGGUCUGUUUGGAGAUAGUGCUAAUCUUGAUGCAAGAUAGAUGCAUGGUUUGCAUGGAACAUACGAUAUGCUUAGAAAUCAAUUAGGUCGCACCUGAUAUAACUCCUUGAUGAUUUGUGUCAUAUGGAAUCUUGCUUUGGUUUGUUUAGAGACAAAGUUAGUUUUGGUAGAAGAUAUGUGCACGGUUUACGCCUAAUGCACCAUAGGCUAAGAAACCAUUUUAGACGCACCCGAUGGUACUCAAUGCAAGAUGACGUGUGUCAUAUGGAUUCUCGCUUCGGUCUGUUUGGAGACAAUGUUAGUUUCAGUGCAAGAUAGGUGCAUAGUUUGUGUGUAAUGCACCAUAGUCUAAGAAACCAUUUUUGACACACUUGUUUGUACUCCUAGAUGAAGAGGCUCAAGUGGAAGCUCGGUUUGGUCUGUUUGGAGAUAGUGCUAAUCUUGAUGCAAGAUAGAUGCACGGUUUGCAUGGAACAUAGCAUAUCCUUGGAAAUCAAUUUGGAUGCACCCGAUGGAACUCCUUGAUGACGUGUGUCAUAUGGAAUCUCACUUUAGUCUGUUUAGAAAUACUGUUAGUUUCGGUGCAAGAUAUGUGCAUGGUUUGCGCCUAAUGCACCAUAGUCUAAGAAACCAUUUUGGAAGCACCUGUUGGUACUUCGGUGAAGAGGCUCAGGUGGAAGCUCGAUUGGAUAUGUUUGGAGAUAGUGCUAAUCCUGAUGCAAGAUAGGUGCAUGAUUUGCAAGGAACAUACCAUAUGCUUAGAAAUCAAUUUGGACGCACCAAAUGGAACUCCUGAAUGACGUGUGCCAUAUGGAAUCUUGCUUCGGUCUGUUUGUAGACAUUGUAAGUUUUAGUGCAAGAUAGGUGCACAGUUUGCGCCUAAUGCACUAUAGUCUAAGAAACCAUUUUGGAUGCACUAUUUGGUACUCUUGGGUGAAGAGGCUCAAGUGGAAGCUUGGUUCGGUCAGUUUGGAGAUAGUGCUAAUCCUUAUGCAAGGUAGGUGCAUGGUUUGGAUCGAACAUACCAUAUGCUUGGAGAUCAAUUUGGAUGCACCCGAUGGAACUCCUUGACGACGUGUGUCAUAUGGAAUCUCGUUUUGAUCCAUUUGGAGAAAUUGUUAGUUUCAUUGCAAGAUAGGUGCACAGUUUGCACCUAAUGCACCAUAGUCUAAGAAACCAUUUUGGACGCACUUGUUGGUACUCCUAGGUGAAGGGGCUCAAGUGGAUGCUCGGUUCGGUCUAUUUGGAGAUAGUGCUAAUCUUGAUGCAAGAUAGGUGCGAUGUUUGCAUGGAACAUACCAUAUGCUUGGAAAUCAAUUUGGAUGCACCCGAUGGAACUCCUUGAUGACGUCUGUCAUAUGGAAUCUCACUUUGGUGUGCUUAGAGAUAGUAUUAGUUUCAGUGCAAGAUAUGUGCACGGUUUGCGCCUAAUGCACCAAAGUCUAAGAAACCAUUUUGGAAGCACCUAUUGGUACUCUUAGGUGAAGAGGCUCAAGUGGAGGCUCGGUUCGGUAUGUUUAGAGAUAGUGCUAGUCUUGAUGCAAGAUAGGUGCAUGAUUUGCAUGGAACAUACCAUAUGCUUGGAAAUCAAUUUGGAUGCACCCGAUGGAACUCCUUGAUGACGUGUGUCAUUUGCAAUCUCGCUUCGGUCCAUUUGGAGACAUUGUUAGUUUCAGUGCAAGAUAGGUGCACAGUUUGCACCUAAUGCACCAUAGUCUAAGAAACCAUUUUGGACGCAUUUGUUGGUAUUCCUAUGUGAAGAGGCUCAAGUGGAUGCUAGGUUUGGUCUGUUUGGAGAUAGUGCUAAUCUUGAUGCAAGAUAGAUGCAUGGUUUGCAUGGAACAUACGAUAUGCUUAGAAAUCAAUUAGGUCGCACCUGAUAUAACUCCUUGAUGAUUUGUGUCAUAUGGAAUCUUGCUUUGGUUUGUUUAGAGACAAAGUUAGUUUUGGUAGAAGAUAUAUGCACGGUUUACGCCUAAUGCACCAUAGGCUAAGAAACCAUUUUAGACGCACCCGAUGGUACUCAAUGCAAGAUGACGUGUGUCAUAUGGAAUCUCGCUUCGGUCUGUUUGGAGACAAUGUUAGUUUCAGUGCAAGAUAGGUGCAUAGUUUGUGUGUAAUGCACCAUAGUCUAAGAAACCAUUUUUGACACACUUGUUUGUACUCCUAGAUGAAGAGGCUCAAGUGGAAGCUCGGUUCGGUCUGUUUGGAGAUAGUGCUAAUCUUGAUGCAAGAUAGAUGCACGGUUUGCAUGGAACAUAGCAUAUCCUUGGAAAUCAAUUUGGAUGCACCCGAUGGAACUCCUUGAUGACGUGUGUCAUAUGGAAUCUCACUUUAGUCUGUUUAGAAAUAGUGUUAGUUUCGGUGCAAGAUAUGUGCAUGGUUUGCGCCUAAUGCACCAUAGUCUAAGAAACCAUUUUGGAAGCACCUGUUGGUACUUCGGUGAAGAGGCUCAGGUGGAAGCUCAAUUGGAUAUGUUUGGAGAUAGUGCUAAUCCUGAUGCAAGAUAGGUGCAUGAUUUGCAUGGAACAUACCAUAUGCUUAGAAAUCAAUUUGGAUGCACCCAAUGGAACUCCUAAAUGACGUGUGCCAUAUGGAAUCUUGCUUCGGUCUGUUUGUAGACAUUGUAAGGUUUAGUGCAAGAUAGGUGCACAGUGUCGAGGGUAUCAGUAAGGGGUACCCUAACCAACGUACAUAACGAGAGCACCAGUACAUAAAUCAAGGCCCCCGACUCGACACCCCCUGAUCGCAUGCACGAUUGUCGAGACAAGACGAUGCCCAUAGCCUCGAACACGGAAAGAGCGUCGUGCGAAUCAAUAGGGGCUCGACCGAACAGCAGCCGUCGAAUACGGAAACUGGCUCGUACGAAUCAACAAGCCUCGAGCGCAAGGACGCCGCCCACCGCCUGACGCGGGUAUGGGAACCAGGACAUUUAAUGCGCAUGUCCUGUUCUCACCUAACCCGACAGUCAUGGGAAGCGAGAUAGGGAGCAAGCACCCAUCCAAUCACCCCUUUUGCAGCCUUGUCCACCGGAUGAGUCAGAGCUUGGCAGGGCGCAGCGAGGCGGAUGGGACGUCUCGUCACGACCCCCCUCGAGACGCCUAAAGUCAGCGCUCCAACCAGCAGGGCUUCACGCGGCGUCAGACCCUCGAGCAGGCACACUCCUUCCCUAAGAAGGGUCAGGCGGUGAAAGAUAGCGCCCCAACCACUCUGACGCGACUGAAGCCACGACAUACAGGCGUGCCCAUGGUUGAGCCAAUCCACGACGACAUGCAGAAGCCGGAUUUAGGGGCACGCAUAAUCAUCAUCCAAGUACUGGGUAACAAGACGACUCGAGGCCACGCCGGUACGGAAGUCUCGAGUAGGUCAGCGCGCCACACCCCUAUCGACCCCUACUCUGUCACCUACGCAUGUAACCUAGGUCUCCCCUUGGAACUAUAAAGGGGAAGCUCAGGAAAGGAUGAGGGACACAAGACAUACGUAGAAGAGCAAUCAUACUUCAUCUCCAUGCAUCCAUACCAUACCGACUUGUAUUCACCCCUGUACAAGCACUUAGGUGCAAGAUAAUAGAAACACCUCUCCCCCCGCUGGACGUAGGGCCUUCUCUUGCCCGAACCAGGAUAAAUCUUUGUGUCUUUUCUUGCAUCACCAUCUGGAAAGGAGAGCACGCACAAGUUUUACUCGUUGGUGUGACCCCCCGGGGGAAAAAUACUGACAUUUUGCGCGCCAGGUAGGGGUCCUGCGUGUUUUUUGCAAAUUUCCCAUCUCUUUCCAGAUGGCCACUCUUGUUUUGCCGAUUCCGCGCUCCACGGUGAUUUGGUUCGGUAGCCUCGAGUUCAUGUCUACCGGUUUCGGCUACGACAUGAUCCUGCUCUCGGUCAAAGGACCGGAAGGAGCACGCAUUGCGCCCGCACGACUGAGGGCUCCAAGACGGCCUCGCCACCAUGCCUCCCCGCCCAAGAAGAGGCGUGGAUAGCACCGCCACCACUCCUCUGCCUCCUCACGGUCACCGGCUCCUGCCAGGCGAGUGGUGACACAGGAGCCGACAACCCCACGCACCGAAGCCGUGGGUACGACGGCCCGACGUCACGAGGAUCGCGCGACGACGAUGGGUGACGACGCGCCUCGUGCGCCCUUGUCCCCCACAACGCUACUUCCACACGGGCUGUUCGCCCCAAGAAGAGCACUACCGUUCGGUCCGAACAAUGUCGCGGCGUCGCUCGCCAGGACGAUAUGUCCGAACGCCCAGACGUACGUGGAGCGACCAAUGGUCCUCCCACGCGACGCUAGAGCACAGCAGCAAGCACCCGAGCUGCCAGAUUUCUCCUAGGUGUGAGGUCUCCGACGCCUAGGACCUGGGCGAUACACGAUCACCUCAUUCAGGCAGCAGCUACUGGAGGAAAGACGAGGAUGCUUCUACGCCACCGAGCUUGACCCCGACUCGGAAUCCGACAGCUACGACCCUACUAGGGAAUGCUUCAACAUCGACGGGGAGGUAGAAACCACCGACGAAACACAAGACGCCGUCGCCGACGGACGAGCCCCUGUAGCAAGGGAGGACCCUAGGACGCCUGGGAACGACGGUUGGGUCGACCCCCCGCCGCAGGAAGACAAAGCCGCACAACUUGCACAGUUACGGGAGCUCAGAGCAAAGCUCGAUGAAGAUCGCGAGCGCCUUGUCCAGCUCGAGCUGGUCCUCGAGCAGGACCAACUACACCCGCAUGGCGGAGGUGCCCGCAGACGGGCUCGAGAAGUACAUCGACAGAUCGUCGGGGACAGGGAACCAGAGCAACCCGUCAGCCGCUUCCCCAGAGCGGGGCAGAACGUCGUGGUGGCGACGAUGCUGCUACGUAACAUGCCCUAACCCUCGAACUCCCAAGCGUGGCGAAUUCGAGAUGAGGUGCAGACUCUGCUUCAAGUAGAGGCAGUUCAGCAGGCCGAGAGCUCAGCUUCUCGACGUCGAGGAGCAGCCACGGAGAGGCAUGACGAGUCGGUCCAAAAUGAAAAGGAGGUGUCGGUCCAUCAGCAACCACCCCCUCGAGGAAAGAGGACAGCGCCUGUCCAAAACCACCCCGUCGAUAUUCAACGGCGACAUGACACACGACACGACAUCAACGAAUAUCGUCACCAUCGACAUGGGGAUGCAGAGGAGCGCGGUUACAGCGCCCACCGCGGCGGGCGAUACGACAGCGACGAGGACCGGAUGGCCCCGGAACCGCCAGGCCCUCGCGUGUUUAGCAGAGGGAUCUGCAGCACACUGCUGCCCCCAGACUAGCAUUGCUAAAUACAAUGGUGAAACCAAGCUAGAACUGUGGCUGGCGGACUUCCGGCUAGCUUGUUAGUUGGGUGGCGCUCGAGGGGACGAUCGAGCCAUCAUCCGACAGUUACCGCUUUUCCUCUCCGACACCGCCCGCAGAUGGCUCGAGGAGCUCCCAGCCAACCAAAUCCACAAUUGGACCGAUUUGGUCAGAGUAUUCGAGGGAAACUUCAAAGGGACCUACAUACGGCCUGGCAACUCGUGGGACCUCAGCAAGUGCAAGCAGAAAUCAGGAGAAACUCUCCGAGAGUAUGCCCGACGCUUUUCGAAGCAGCACACCGAGCUGCCACACAUCCCAGACCACGACAUCAUCCUGGCCUUUGUCUUAGGCACCACUUGCCGAGAUUUGGUGCAGGAAUUGGGCCGGAAUCGCCCUCAGACUGUCGACGAGAUAAUGGACGUGGUGGCAAACUAUGCUGCAGGGGAGGAAGCGGUCGGCGGUUUCUUCAGCUGCGAAGGAGGCAAAGGCAAUUCGCCAGCCGAUGACAAUGAGGGCCCCAGUCGAGGACCCAAGAAGAACAAAAAGAAGAAGAAAGCACGGCCGCUCCAACGGGAGGCCCUCGACGACGAUCUCGUCGCUGCCGUGGAGCGUAAAAAACCCUGAGGACCCCCUGAGGGGGCUAUCUUCAACAAGAUGCUAAAGGAGCCCUGCCCUUACCAUAAGGGAGGGGUGAACCACAAGCUUGAAGACUGCCGCAUGCUAAAAAGACACUUCGACGGCCUGGGAUUUAAGAAGGACGACCAGAAGAAAGAAAAGAGCAGCGACAAGGGGGACGACAAAGAAGACGAGGGUUUCCCAGCUGUCCAUGACUGCUACAUGAUUUACGGCGGACCCUCAACGCAGCUAACUGCAAGGCAGCGCAAGAGGGAGCGCCGUGAGGUCUUUGCAGCAUGGAUGGCGGUGCCCCAGUACCUCAAAUGGUCAAACACCCCCAUCACCUUCAAUCGAGACGACCAUCUCGACAAGGUAGUCGCCCCUGGCGUCUACCCACUCGUCGUCGACCCUAUCAUCGUCAACACCAGACUCUCGAAGGUGCUGAUGGAUGGCGGCAGCAGCCUGAACAUCAUCUACCUCGAGACCCCCGACCUCCUCGGCAUCGAAAGGACACAGCUCCAACCAAGCGCGGGCGGCUUCCAUGGUGUCGUACCUGGAAAGAAGGCAUUGCCAAUAGGUCGAAUCGACCUACCGGUCUGUUUUGGCACAGCGGCCAAUUUCAGAAAGGAGGUCCUCACCUUUGAGGUGGUGGGAUUUUGAGGCACAUACCACGCCAUCAUCGGGCGCCCGGGCUACCGAAGUUCAUGGCUAUCCCCAACUACACCUACCUGAAGCUGAAGAUGCCCGGGCCCAAGGGGGUCAUCACCGUCAGCUCCUCCUACGAGCAUGCAUACGAGUGCGACGUCGAGUGCGUCGAGUAUGGAGAAGCCGUCGAGAACUCCACCGACCUCGCUUCAAAGCUCGAGGCCCUUGCUGCAGAAGCCCCGGAACCCAAGCGUCGCGCGGGCAGCUUCGAGCCGGCAGAAGGCACGAAGAAGAUCCCGCUCGACCCAAACAGCUCCGACGGCAAGGUGCUGACGAUCAGCGCCGACCUCGACCCCAAAUAGGAAGCCGUGCUCGUCGACUUUCUCCGUGCAAACGCGGACAUGUUUGCAUGGAGUCCCUCGGACAUGCCAGGCAUACCGAGGGAAGUCGCCGAGCACUCCUUGGAAAUUUGAGCCGGCUCCAAGCCAGUGAAGCAGCGGCUGCGUCGCUUUGACGAGGAGAAACGCAAGAUCAUUGGCGAGGAGAUCCACAAGCUUUUGGCGGCCGGAUUCAUCAAGGAGGUUCACCAUCCCGACUGGUUAGCGAACCCUAUACUAGUUAAGAAAAAGAAUGGGAAGAUGAGGAUGUGUGUCGAUUACACGAGUUUAAAUAAAGCAUGUCCAAAAGUUCCUUUCCCUUUGCCACGCAUUGAUCAAAUUGUUGACUCUACCGCAGGAUGUAAAACCAUUUCUUUCCUUGAUGCAUACUCUGGUUACCAUCAAAUAAAAAUGAAAGAGUCCGACCUGCUCGUGACAUCUUUCAUUACGCAUUUUGGGAUGUACUGUUAUGUGACCAUGCCGUUUGGGCUCCGAAACGCUGGAGCAACAUACCAGCGAUGCAUGCUCCAUGUGUUUGGCAAGCAUAUAGGGUCGACGGUCGAGGCAUACGUCGAUGACAUUGUCGUCAAAUCGAAGAAACGAGGCGACCUGAUUCAGGACCUCGAGAUCGCUUUCGGUUGUCUAUGCGCCAACAAAAUCAAGCUCAACCCCGAGAAGUGCGUCUUUGGCGUGCCUCGAGGCAUGCUCUUGGGGUACAUGGUCUCCCAACGUGGCAUCGAGGCUAAUCCCGAGAAAGUCUCGGCCAUUGCGAGAAUGGGGCCGAUUCAAGACGUCAAGGGAGUACAAAAAGUCAAGGGGUGCCUGGCGGCACUAAGCCGCUUUAUCUCAAGGCUAGGGGAAAAAGCGUUGCCACUGUAUCGGCUGUUGAAAAAGGCUGAACGUUUCUCGUGGACCCCUAAAGCCGAGGAGGCCCUCGACAGCCUGAAGAAAACAUUGACCUCCGCCCCGGUCCUAGUUCCACCUCAGCCCACAGAACCUCUGCUUCUGUACGUAGCUGCAAUGACCCAGGUGGUCGGUGCGGCAGUGGUGGUCGAAAGACAGGAGGAAGGACAUGCGCUGCCGGUCCAGAGGCCGGUCUACUUCAUCAGCGAGGUACUAUCAGAAACCAAGGUACGGUACCCACAGAUCCAAAAACUAAUCUACGCAGUGAUCCUCGCUCGACGCAAGCUACAACACUACUUCCUUGGUCACCCAAUCACGGUGGUCUCGUCCUUCCCCUUGGGAGAGAUCAUCCGAAGUCGGGAGGCCACAGGAAGAAUCGUCAAAUGGUCGGUCGAGCUCAUGAGUGAGACCCUCACUUAUGCGGCCUGCAAAGCCAUCAAAUCUCAAGCUCUGGCGGACUUUGUCACGGAGUGGACGGACUCCCAGCUCCCCCCGGCUCAAGUUCAAGCGGAGCUGUGGACGAUGUACUUCGACGGACCUCUCAUGAAGACGGGAGCUGGGGCAGGUCUGCUGCUCAUCUCACCCCUCGGCGUCCAUAUGAGGUAUGUCAUCAGAAUACAUUUCGCCGCAUCUAACAACAUCGCGGAGUAUGAGGCCCUUGUCAACGGGCUGAAGAUCGCCAUCAAGCUAGGAGUUCGGCGCCUCGACGUUCGAGGCGACUCUUAGCUUGUCAUCGACCAAGUAAUGAAGGCCUCGAGCUGCCACGAUCCAAAAUGGAGGUAUACUGCAAGGAGGUACGUCGACUCGAGGAUAAAUUGCACGGCCUCGAGCUCGUCCACAUCGCCCGACGCUACAACGAGGCGGCCGACGAACUCGCCAAAAUCGCGUCAACUCAAGGCACGGUCCCGCCCGACGCAUGCUCGAGAGAUCUGUACGAGCCAUCCGUCGACUUGAGCUCUGGGGCUGACAUCGAAACCACCGCCCCCCAUCCAGCCAACGCUAUCGAAGCCCUGCUGGCGGCAGCAGAAGUAAUGGAAGUGGAACAGCGUCCCGGUUGACCGUUCGACUGUAACACUCUGGUGUUAAGCAGACUAAAACCUGACAUGUCAUCAUGAGCAUUGCAUCGUAAAUUUGUUAAGCACACACUGAUGCCCGAACUUAAAAUAAGUUUAAAUUUGGUUGGAUGUGCUUAAGAAUUUAAGUGUGUUUAUUUUGUACUUGGAUGCUUGUGUUAGUGUUUAAAACUCUAGUGUGAAAGGUUUCCGAGAGCUUAAGGGGGGAACCCUGUUUUUAAAACCCUGGAUUUGUCCCCUUUUGUGCAAUUCAAAAACAAAGCAAAAUUUGAAGUUGAGUUCAAAAGGAAAGUUGUAGAUCUUGUCAAGAUGUACAACUUUGGUGUUUUGAGUUUUUAAAGUUUCAGUACAAAAUUCAAAGUAAUUUUGAAAUUACAGAUUUCCGGAAAGUGUCCCCUUUUCAAACUUAUAUCUCCAAUUCAAAAUCUGUUUGGAAUUUUGAAAAAUGGUCAACAUGAAAGUUGUAGGGCUUGAAAAGUUGAACAACUUUCAUGUUGGGAGUUUUUCAAGUUGUUUUGGAAAAUCAAAAGUAAUUUUGGAAUUUCUAAUCCUGCCCCAAUUCAAAAUUGAAUUUUUCCCAAUUUGAGUUUUGAAUUUCCAACUGUUUGGCUCAAAUUCACCCCUUUCCAUUUGAAAUCAGUCUUGGACCUUUAAAGAUGUUUUGUAGCUCACAAAAUUUUGCACAAGUUUCUUUUUGGUAAAAAUUUGACUUCAGUUCACUUUUUGGUCGAAAUUUUGCAAAACAGACAAAAGGAGGGGGAUAAUCUUGGCUUCUGUUCAUGGCGGUGGACAUUCGAGUCAGGGGCGGUGAAUGCCAGCGCACGGUCACCGUUUUACCUCGUCCCAGCGCGUGCUCGCGUUCGUGGCGAUGUGGAGCAGCUGCUGGCAACCUGGAGAGCGACGUGUUUGUCCCUCUUGCGCUCGCCGACUCCAUUUUCGCCACCGGAGCACCGAGGAGCAGCACUUCGUCUCACUCCAAAUUCGUCAUCUUCGCUCCCUUCCAACCCACCAGAGAAACACCAACAGCACCGCCCUGAACUCCGCUAUCCAUUGCGCCUCUGAGCGCAAGCGCUCGUCCCUCCUAGGUCGCAACCGAGCCGCUUCUCUCCCAACUCCGGCCGAAGCGCCGCCGCGAACACCUCACCGCGGCUAGGCCUGCUCCGAGCUCCUCCGCCUCCGUCGUUUGCUUCGCUGAGAUCGCGGUGAGCCGCCGGUUCUUAUGCGCUACCUCUUUCGCGUUCUACUUGCUUGAUGUGGCCGGCAUUGGCUCGGCCGAGGUGGCCGUCUGCCGCGUCCGUGGCCGUGGCAGCUAGGGUAGGGGAGAGCGGGUGUAAAGGGGGUCUACGGGUGCGCAAGGAGCUGGGGAAGCUAGCUUGCCUCGCUGCAGAAGCCGGGAGCUCACCGGUGUUGAGUUGGAGGUCGCCGGAGCGGUGACGCGAGGUGGAAGGCGAAGCUGACGGGCGGGACCCGCCCGUCAGUGUCUGUGUGAGGGGAGGGGGGUGGCGCGCGCAGUGCCCGCUUGGGCCGAGCGGGAGCAGGCCGGCCAGCAAGCCGAGUUCCUGGGCCGCUCGUGACACAGUAGCGUUUUCUUUUUCUUUUUGUGCAGUUUUUGUUUUAUGUUUAAUUUUAUGUAUUAAAUCAUGUGCUGAUCCAAAAAUUGUGAAAAUUUUUGUAUAGCUUCCAUAAAAUGGAUAGAGCAUAAGAAAAAUGUUAGGUCUUAUUUUCUGGUAACUUUCAUAUAUAUAUAAAUUGCCUCUGUUUAUUACUAAAUAAAUCUUCCAUGAAUUUUAAUAAUUUAUGGGUGUAUCCAAAAAUCAUGAAAUUUAAUAUGUGAACUUGUGUUACUGUUGUCUAGCUUCAGGAUUAAUUUCAGCUCGGUUUGAUUAAAUAUGCUCUGUUUCUUAAUAAAGCUAUUUAAAAUAAGUAUAAAAGAAAUAGAAAUAUUUAAUCCUUUUAGGAGUUGAGUGGUAUUUUGGAUUGAUUGUCAACCAGUGGUCACUUAGCAUGAUAUGCUCCCUAGUUAUGGUUUAUUUCAUAUAAAGGAUCUUUGUGGUAUGAUGGUUUCACAACAUUGUUUUAUAAAGAUGAUAAAAUUGGUUUAAUAAUAAUCCAUGCUUUGAUAGCUAGAUUAGUUUGUUUCUUUACCAUGAAGGUAAAUUGUACUCGAGAUAAUCAUAUUUUGUUGUUAUCGUCCAAGAACAUGUAACCUGUCUUUAUCAUGCCAUGAGUAUAUCAUAAUCAUGCAUAUGCAUUUUUACGUAUAGAAUACGCUCCGGAAGAAUCUGAUCCUCAGUGGGUUGCUUCCGAGUUUGUGGAUCCUUCGGGCUUUACUGAGUUGCCGAACUUCCCUUUCGAUCAAGGCAAGCCCCGGACAUUAAACCCUUUCCUUGUAUUUUCAUAAAGUUAUUUAUAUCACUUGAGUUAAUAUGAUGCAUUAGGUGAAUAGGAGUUGAGUGAAUCCUAAUUGCUGCAUUAUCUACCUUGAUGUUUUCCAUAUUAAUCUUGAUACUUGCUUUAUGAAAAUGCUUAGUAUGCUUAGUCUUGCUUAUUAGAUAGAUUUUCAAAUGAGAAAGUUUGAAGGGUUGUUGUGGAAUACUUUUAUGGUCAAUAAUGUUUCAACUGGAGACCGGUCGGUGGACUUGCUUUAAGAAUGGAGUCUUAAAGUAGUGUCUCCAACUGUGUCGAUUAAGGACCGUUCCGUUGUUGGCCUGUUGUGAUUGAGACCUUUGAGUACAGCCCACAUGCGCUGGUAAGCCUUACCUAUAGCUAUUCCGAUACUUGAGAACGGCUAACCGCGUACUGGGAGUGGAGAGAUGGCGAGAGUAGCGUGUACCCACCUUACGGAUCUGAGAUGACCGGGAAACAUCUAGAUUGGCUGUAGGAUGGUGGUGUACCGUACUCUCGGGUGACGCUGGACCCGUUCUUGUAUGGGAGGAUCUAUAGAAACAGGUUGAUAUAUGCAAGAUUAAGUUCUACAUAUGUCGUGUGGUACUGAAUCCCCAGCUGGGUUUAAUCGAUUCGAAUCGCCGUGUUUCCUCGGAUAUGGAGCCUCAAUCCUCGUACCAUCAUCGUAGUAAUAAGUGAAUCUUUGGUAUAAGAAAGAUAUGGUUUGCUUAUGAAAGUUUGAUAAUAAUUUGGUUAGUCAUAAAUGAUAACCUUGAGUUAAAACUUGAAAGUAGGUUUUACUCUUAGUAAGCUUUUAUGCAAAAGAAAUACUUGAUCUUACUAAAAACUUUACCUUGAAUUCCUAUAGCCUGCAUACUUGAGUCUUUAUCUCUUUUAUAGUCGGUUAAGUCUUGUUGAGUACUUUUGUACUCAGGGUUUAUUAACCCCUGUUGUAGGUGAACCUUUUGAUAAUUCUUUUGAUGGUCGUUGUUACUUUACUCUUGUGGAGGAGAGUGAUGAUGAGGAAUCUGAUGUGUGACUUUGGGCAAGUAAAACUUGUUGUGUGAUCUAUGGUCUAUGUAAUAAUAAGUUCCGAACCUUUUAUGUACUAAAUACUUAUGGUUUGUAACCGUUGAACUUAAGUUUCAUUCUAUGUUAUGUAACCUUUCCGCUUUUACUCUGAUUUCCCUUAUCUAUGAAAUGUUGUAAUACUGUGAUGCUUGAUGAGGGAAUUCCUGAAAAGAAUGUAACGUGGAUGAUUCGGGUUUCCCGAGGACACCCGACAGACUUCUUGAGUUAUUUGGAACUCGUACACGCCGAUCGGAAGUCUUUGAGACAACGAUGGGUGUAUGUGGGCCACUUAAUUCAGGAGGUUCUGCCACAGCUGGUAUCAGAGCAGGUUUCCCUUAGAAAGUAUAACAGUAUUCAUUUGAAAAUUUCAAAAGCUUUUGAGUCAAACUAAAUUUCAAAUUAGUUUGGGUCCAAAUUGCUUCUAAGCUUGUCUUAUGCUUCUAACUUGUCUUAAUUCAUUCUCUAGACUUAUUCUUCUAUCUAAAUGGAUAUGUUCUUAGUAUAAUUAUGGUAAUAUUUAUAUACAAGGAACGAUGCUUAUAAUAUUAUUAUAAUAUUGCCCUAAUUAUGAAAAGAAAGUUUAUGCACUUCUAUAUUAAGUGACUAAUUUAAAGUUAAUUAUUUGUUUGAUGUAUGCUUUGUCCGUAAGUACGUUUCAUGCAUCAUUAUUGAUAACAUGUAAUUAACUUUCCUCCUUAAAGUUGUUAAUAACUAGGGAUAAUAUGUCUAUCUAAUUAUAAAACUCUAUCCCUUAACCUUGGAACAUAUAUAGUUCUAAUAUUCAAAAUAAAAAUAUUUUGGCAGAUGGCUCGUACCCGCCUAACCGCUCGCAAGUCCACCGGAGGUCGUGUCCCAAGGCACCAGUUGGCAUCAAGGGAUCCGCCACCCUCUGACAGCAGCGACAGCAGCACUGAUAACUCCAGCGAUGGAAACGGAAGUGACACUAGCGGAGGUCCUCCUUCGCCAAGGACUUACAGGCUUAUGAAGAAUGAUUUACGUCUGAUGCUCACUGACAACAUCAACAUGGAAGUUCAACUGUACCAUAUGGCGGGGUAUGUGGUCAACCUUGAGGCCUAUACCAAUAUCCUCCAUGAGGAGGUGCACCAGCUGCACAAUGCCCUCAACCCACCCGAGGCUCCUGAAGCAGCAGAGGAAGGACCAGUUGUCAUCCAAGUGGAUAGUGAUACUUCUGAGGAUGAAGCAGAAGAGCCAGGAACUCCCACUCCAGAUGAGGAUGUUACCACAAGUGGGUCGGAUAUGGAUGACGACUAGGUGUUGAGAAGGCAAGGAGUAUGACCUAGUGUAUUCUUCUGACUUUGUAACUUAGUUAGUCAGAAAACCUCUAGUAUGGGGAGUUAUGUAAAAUAGUGGUUUCAGUAGUCCUGCCCAAGAGCGGACUUGUAUGAUAAAUAAGACGAACGUGUUUGUGUUAUGUAAGUCAUGAUGUAUGAUGGUUAAGUAAGCAUGUUAAUUAAAGUGUGAUGUGUUUUUAAACAGAUGCCUGCUAACAACCAUGGAGCUAGUUCUUCCCAGGGUGGGGAUGAUUUUCCUAAUGCACCAUCAGUUCCACCCUCUUUGGCUGAUGCAAUUGCAGCAUUGGUCAAUGCAACAACUCUGUUAGCACAAAACCAGAAUGUUGGUCAGCGUGGCCGUGAUCGCAAUAACCGAGAAGAAACCACAUAUGUUGACUUCACAGAUACUCGUCCCCCAGUAUUCACAAAAGCUGAUGAACCUCUUGAAGCUGAGGAUUGGCUUCGCACUAUGGAGCAAAAGUUCAGUCUCAUCAACUGUACUGAAACCCAGAAGCCAGCUUUCGCCGCUCAGCAGCUGAGAGGAGCAGUAGGGGUUUGGUGGGAAAACUUACUGGCUGUUCAACCAGCCCGCCACCGAAUCACUUGGGGAGAAUUUAAGGAAGCCUUCAGGGCUCAUUACAUUCCCAAGGGAGUUAUGAAAAUGAAGCUCGAAGAGUUCUUAGCUCUCCAUCAGGGGGAUGAACCAGUCAUGCAGUAUAUUGGAAAGUUUAAUCAUCUGUCCCAAUAUGCGAUUGAGCAAGUCAACACUGAUGAAAAGAAGAAGGAAUGUUUCAUGAGAGGCUUGAAUACAAAGCUUCAGCUGAUGAUGGCAUCAUGUGGCAAUAUAUCUUAUCAUGAGGCAGUGAACAUUGCUAUUUCCAGUGAAGAAAAGAACCGCAAACAUAAGGAGGCUAAGAAGAAGAAGGGGUUUGUCUCAGGGUCUGGAUCAUCUGGCGGCAACAAGAAGCGCCAGAGGCUCGUAUAUCAUCCAGCUCAGCAGUUCCGCCCAUCUUAUCGUCCUUCUUAUCAGCCGCCUCAGCAGCAGAAUAUGCAGAGGAGUUUUGCAAGGCCGGCAAUGCCGUUCAAUGUUCAACGUCAGCCGAAUGCUCCUGCCAUUCGUCCGCCAGUGCCACAAGCUGCAAACAACCCUUGUUACAAUUGUGGGAAGAGUGGACAUUUUUCUCGUGAAUGUCCAUACCCAAGGCAAAAUGUUCCAAAUGUCAAUGCACCAAGACCAGUUGGAAAUCAGCAAACAAAUCAAAACAAAGGUAAUGCUCAGAAUCAGCAGAAGGGUAAGGGUACUCAGAAAACAGGAAGGGUUUUCCAUACUCAAGUUGAAGCUAUACCUGAAGGAGAACCAGUGAUGCUUGGUAUGUUCCCUGUUGCCCAACACUCAGCGCUUACACUUUUUGAUUCUGGUGCAUCACAUACUUUCAUGAAUAGAACAGUUGCGGAAAAGUAUAAUAUACCUAUUGGUGCAACCAAAGAUGAGUUCUUUAUACAGUCACCUGGGGGUCGACUAUGCACUAAGGAAAUGGUACAUCAGGUACCAAUAGACUUGGGUGGAUAUAUAUUUCUAACAUCCAUGAUAGUGUUAAAAGACCCAAGUAUAGAUGUGAUCUUGGGUAUGAACUGGAUGAGCCAGAGAGGUGCAGUUAUAGACACCUUAAAUAGAACCAUCAAGGUCAACUUACCUAAUAGCAAGUCUCAACUUCUUAUCCAUCUUCCUACCCUUAAGAGAGCAGUUGAGCAAGUGUGUGCUAUCUCUGUCAAGGAAAUCAAGGACAUUCCAGUGGUUUGUGAGUUUCCUAAUGUGUUCCCAGAGGAUUUACCUGGUCUGCCACCUGAUCGUGAUGUGGAGUUUGAAAUAGAGCUCAAGCCAGGGACAACACCAAUAUCCAGAAGAGCUUAUAGAAUGCCACCAAAAGAAUUAGCAGAAUUAAAAACUCAGUUGCAAGAAUUGAUGGAUAAAGGUUUCAUUCGACCUAGUUCGUCACCAUGGGGUUGUCCGGCAAUCUUUGUGAAGAAAAAGGACAAUACCUUGAGGUUAUGUGUGGAUUAUCGUCCUUUGAAUGAAGUAACAAUUAAGAAUAAGUAUCCUUUGCCCCGUAUUGAUCUUCUCUUUGAUCAACUAACUGGUGCUAAGGUAUUUUCGAAGAUAGACUUGAGAUCUGGGUAUCAUCAAAUUAAGAUUAAACCAAAAGAUGUUCCGAAAACAGCAUUCACUACCAGAUAUGGUUUGUAUGAAUAUCUGGUCAUGUCUUUUGGUCUGACAAAUGCCCCAGCACAUUUUAUGUAUUUGAUGAAUUCAGUGUUCAUGCCAGAGUUAGAUAAGUUCGUGGUGGUAUUCAUUGAUGACAUUCUCAUCUAUUCCAAAACUAAAGAAGAACAUGAAGAGCAUCUCAGGAUAGUGUUGACUCGCCUGAGAGAACAUCAGUUAUAUGCUAAGUUUAGCAAGUGUGAGUUCUGGAUAGAUGAAGUUCAAUUUUUGGGUCAUGUCCUGUCAGCUGAAGGUGUUGCAGUAGAUCCAAGCAAAGUUCAAGAAGUUCUUGACUGGAAGUCACCAACUUCAGUACAUCAAGUUCGGAGUUUCUUAGGAUUGGCGGGGUACUAUCGCAGAUUUACCCCUGACUUCUCCAAGAUCUCUAAACCAAUGACAACACUGCUAAAGAAUGAUACUAAGUUUGUGUGGUCAUCCGAAUGUGAAGAAGCUUUUCAGACUUUGAAAAAGUUGUUGACCACUGCACCAGUGCUAGCUCAACCUGAUAUUGAAAAAUCUUUUGAUGUGUAUUGUGAUGCUUCAGGCAAAGGAAUUGGGUGUGUACUCAUGCAAGAAGGCAGAGUCAUUGCUUAUGCUUCACGACAACUUAAGCGUCACGAAGAGCAUUAUCCAACCCAUGAUCUAGAGUUGGCAGCUGUAGUCCAUGCUCUGAAGAUCUGGCGACACUAUCUGCUGGGUAAUACUUGUCACAUAUACACUGAUCAUAAGAGUUUGAAAUACAUCUUCACUCAGUCAGAAUUGAAUAUGCGUCAGAGAAGGUGGUUAGAACUGAUAAAAGAUUAUGAUAUUGAAGUACACUAUCACCCAGGCAAAGCCAAUGUAGUGGCAGAUGCACUCAGUCGAAAGAGUCAUUGCAAUUGUGUGGAAGUCAAGCCUAUAGACCUUACCUUAUGUUAUGAAUUUGAAAAGUUAGGUCUUGAAAUGAUUCCACAAGGAAGUUUGACAAAUAUGACAGUUCAGUCAUCUAUCAAAGAUCAGAUUAUUACAGCCCAGAAAGAAAAUAAGGGUAUAAUAUUUUUGAAAAGAAAAGUUCAGUCUGAACAGAAUUCCAAGUUCAGAAUAGAUGAAGCUGGAGUGAUUUGGUUCAAGGAUCGGUUAGUAGUUCCAAAAGUUCCUGAACUCAGAAAACAAAUUCUUGAUGAAGCUCAUGCAACGAGAUUUUCAAUCCAUCCAGGCAGUAAUAAGAUGUAUCAGGAUCUGAAGCAAAGAUUCUGGUGGACUAAGAUGAAACUUGAAAUUGCUAGUUAUGUGGCUAAAUGCGAUACUUGUCAAAAAGUGAAAGCAAUUCAUCUUAGGUCUGCUGGAGAAUUGCAACCUUUGCCAAUUCCAUCUUGGAAGUGGGAUGACAUUAGUAUGGACUUCAUAGUGGGUCUACCCAGAACAUCGAGAGGGUUUGAUUCCAUAUGGGUCAUUGUUGAUCGUCUAACCAAAUCGGCCCAUUUCAUUCCAGUAAGAAAAGAUUAUCGAGCUUCUGACUAUGCUAAGAUAUACUUUAACAGAAUUGUGAGUUUACAUGGUGUUCCAAGGACUAUUGUAUCUGAUAGAGGGACACAAUUUGUUAAUGCUUUCUGGAAGCACUUACAUAAGUCCUUGGGUACCAAACUUUUGCAUAGUACAGCUUAUCAUCCACAGACUGGUGGCCAGACUGAAAGAGUCAACCAGAUCUUAGAAGAUAUGUUAAGAUCUUAUGUACUCAGUUAUUCAGGGAAGUGGCACGAGUGUUUGCCUUUAGCAGAAUUCUCUUACAAUAAUAGUUAUCAAGAAAGCAUUAAGAUGGCACCAUUCGAAGCUCUAUAUGGCAGAAAAUGCAGAACACCUUUGAAUUGGUCAGAACCUGGAGAACAUAGUCUCUUCGGGGUUGACUUAGUCAAAGAAGCCGAAGAGAAAGUCAGGCUCAUUCGAGAGAACAUGAAGAUAGCACAGUCCAGGCAAAAGAGUUAUGCUGAUAAGAGACGUCGAUCUCUUAGCUUUGAGGUUGGUGAUUAUGUAUACCUCAAAGUAUCACCUAUGAAAGGAGUCACUCGAUUUGGAGUAAAAGGAAAGUUGGCACCUCGAUAUAUAGGUCCAUAUCAAAUCCUCGAAAGAUGUGGAAAGGUGGCAUAUCGUCUAGAUUUACCACCCCAGUUGUUAUCAGUUCACAAUGUGUUUCAUGUCUCUCAGUUGAAGAAAUGUCUUCAAGUGCCUGAUCAUAUCAUUCCUGUUGAAGGGAUUGAGUUAAAGCCUGAUCUGACAUAUUCAGAGUAUCCUAUCAAGAUUCUGGAUCAAAAAGAUCGAGUUACUCGUAGAAGAACUAUCAAAUUUUACAAGGUGCAAUGGAAUCAACAUACCGAAGAUGAAGCCACGUGGGAGUCCGAAGAGUUUCUCCUAGAAAGUUUUCCUGAGUUUCUUUCUUCUGUCUUAUCCUUGUAAUCUGUAGAAUGAUGAUCUACCCCUGUUUUUGUAAAAGUUGGUUUUGGAAGUGCUUGACAAACUUCCUUUUCCAUUAGUUAGCCUUCAAGUUAAAUCUCGGGACGAGAUUUCUUUAAGGGGGAAAGAGCUGUAACACUCUGGUGUUAAGCAGACUAAAACCUGACAUGUCAUCAUGAGCAUUGCAUCGUAAAUUUGUUAAGCACACACUGAUGCCCGAACUUAAAAUAAGUUUAAAUUUGGUUGGAUGUGCUUAAGAAUUUAAGUGUGUUUAUUUUGUACUUGGAUGCUUGUGUUAGUGUUUAAAACUCUAGUGUGAAAGGUUUCCGAGAGCUUAAGGGGGGAACCCUGUUUUUAAAACCCUGGAUUUGUCCCCUUUUGUGCAAUUCAAAAACAAAGCAAAAUUUGAAGUUGAGUUCAAAAGAAAAGUUGUAGAUCUUGUCAAGAUGUACAACUUUGGUGUUUUGAGUUUUUAAAGUUUCAGUACAAAAUUCAAAGUAAUUUUGAAAUUACAGAUUUCCGGAAAGUGUCCCCUUUUCAAACUUAUAUCUCCAAUUCAAAAUCUGUUUGGAAUUUUGAAAAAUGGUCAACAUGAAAGUUGUAGGGCUUGAAAUUUCUAAUCCUGCCCCAAUUCAAAAUUGAAUUUUUCCCAAUUUGAGUUUUGAAUUUCCAACUGUUUGGCUCAAAUUCACCCCUUUCCAUUUGAAAUCAGUCUUGGACCUUUAAAGAUGUUUUGUAGCUCACAAAAUUUUGCACAAGUUUCUUUUUGGUAAAAAUUUGACUUCAGUUCACUUUUUGGUCGAAAUUUUGCAAAACAGACAAAAGGAGGGGGAUAAGCUUGGCUUCUGUUCAUGGCGGUGGACAUUCGAGUCAGGGGCGGUGAAUGCCAGCGCACGGUCACCGUUUUACCUCAUCCCAGCGCGUGCUCGCGUUCGUGGCGAUGUGGAGCAGCUGCUGGCAACCUGGAGAGCGACGUGUCUGUCCCUCUUGCGCUCGCCGACUCCAUUUUCGCCACCGGAGCACCGAGGAGCAGCACUUCGUCUCACUCCAAAUUCGUCAUCUUCGCUCCCUUCCAACCCACCAGAGAAACACCAACAGCACCGCCCUGAACUCCGCUAUCCAUUGCGCCUCUGAGCGCAAGCGCUCGUCCCUCCUAGGUCGCAACCGAGCCGCUUCUCUCCCAACUCCGGCCGAAGCGCCGCCGCGAACACCUCACCGCGGCUAGGCCUGCUCCGAGCUCCUCCGCCUCCGUCGUUUGCUUCGCUGAGAUCGCGGUGAGCCGCCGGUUCUUAUGCGCUACCUCUUUCGCGUUCUACUUGCUUGAUGUGGCCGGCAUUGGCUCGGCCGAGGUGGCCGUCCGCCGCGUCCGUGGCCGUGGCAGCUAGGGUAGGGGAGAGCGGGUGUAAAGGGGGUCUACGGGUGCGCAAGGAGCUGGGGAAGCUAGCUUGCCUCGCUGCAGAAGCCGGGAGCUCACCGGUGUUGAGUUGGAGGUCGCCGGAGCGGUGACGCGAGGUGGAAGGCGAAGCUGACGGGCGGGACCCGCCCGUCAGUGUCUGUGUGAGGGGAGGGGGGUGGCGCGCGCAGUGCCCGCUUGGGCCGAGCGGGAGCAGGCCGGCCAGCAAGCCGAGUUCCUGGGCCGCUCGUGACACAGUAGCGUUUUCUUUUUCUUUUUCUGCAGUUUUUGUUUUAUGUUUAAUUUUAUGUAUUAAAUCAUGUGCUGAUCCAAAAAUUGUGAAAAUUUUUGUAUAGCUUCCAUAAAAUGGAUAGAGCAUAAGAAAAAUGUUAGGUCUUAUUUUCUGGUAACUUUCAUAUAUAUAUAAAUUGCCUCUGUUUAUUACUAAAUAAAUCUUCCAUGAAUUUUAAUAAUUUAUGGGUGUAUCCAAAAAUCAUGAAAUUUAAUAUGUGAACUUGUGUUACUGUUGUCUAGCUUCAGGAUUAAUUUCAGCUCGGUUUGAUUAAAUAUGCUCUGUUUCUUAAUAAAGCUAUUUAAAAUAAGUAUAAAAGAAAUAGAAAUAUUUAAUCCUUUUAGGAGUUGAGUGGUAUUUUGGAUUGAUUGACAACCAGUGGUCACUUAGCAUGAUAUGCUCCCUGGUUAUGGUUUAUUUCAUAUAAAGGAUCUUUGUGGUAUGAUGGUUUCACAACAUUGUUUAAUAAAGAUGAUAAAAUUGGUUUAAUAAUAAUCCAUGCUUUGAUAGCUAGAUUAGUUUGUUUCUUUACCAUGAAGGUAAAUUGUACUCGAGAUAAUCAUAUUUUGUUGUUAUCGUCCAAGAACAUGUAACCUGUCUUUAUCAUGCCAUGAGUAUAUCAUAAUCAUGCAUAUGCAUUUUUACGUAUAGAAUACGCUCCGGAAGAAUCUGAUCCUCAGUGGGUUGCUUCCGAGUUUGUGGAUCCUUCGGGCUUUACUGAGUUGCCGAACUUCCCUUCCGAUCAAGGCAAGCCCCGGACAUUAAACCCUUUCCUUGUAUUUUCAUAAAGUUAUUUAUAUCACUUGAGUUAAUAUGAUGCAUUAGGUGAAUAGGAGUUGAGUGAAUCCUAAUUGCUGCAUUAUCUACCUUGAUGUUUUCCACAUUAAUCUUGAUACUUGCUUUAUGAAAAUGCUUAGUAUGCUUAGUCUUGCUUAUUAGAUAGAUUUUCAAAUGAGAAAGUUUGAAGGGUUGUUGUGGAAUACUUUUAUGGUCAAUAAUGUUUCAACUGGAGACCGGUCGGUGGACUUGCUUUAAGAAUGGAGUCUUAAAGUAGUGUCUCCAACUGUGUCGAUUAAGGACCGUUCCGUUGUUGGCCUGUUGUGAUUGAGACCUUUGAGUACAGCCCACAUGCGCUGGUAAGCCUUACCUAUAGCUAUUCCGAUACUUGAGAACGGCUAACCGCGUACUGGGAGUGGAGAGACGGCGAGAGUAGCGUGUACCCACCUUACGGAUCUGAGAUGACCGGGAAACAUCUAGAUUGGCUGUAGGAUGGUGGUGUACUGUACUCUCGGGUGACGCUGGACCCGUUCUUGUAUGGGAGGAUCUAUAGAAACAGGUUGAUAUAUGCAAGAUUAAGUUCUACAUAUGUCGUGUGGUACUGAAUCCCCAGCUGGGUUUAAUCGAUUCGAGCGUGCCAACGGCAUGAUAUUGCAGGGGCUCAAGCUAAGGAUCUACAACCAGUUGAAGAAAUUUGGCAAGAAAUGGGUCGAAGAGCUCUCUUCAGUCCUAUGGAGUCUAAGGACGACGCCUAGCAGGGCCACAAAAUAUACCCCAUUCUUCAUGGUCUACGGCUCCAAGGCUGUGCUUCCAACAGACCUAGAGUAUGGGUCACCCCGACUCAAGGCCUACAACGAGCAGACGAACAAGGAGACUCGAGAGAACGCGGUCGACCAGCUCGAGGAAGCUCGAGACAUGGCCCUCCUCAACUCCGCUAGGUACCAGCAGAAGCUUCGAUGCUAUCACGACAAGCACGUGCGCAAAAGGGAUCUGAACGUGGGCGACCUCGUCCUACGGCGGCGACAAAGCAACCAAUGACGCCACAAGCUGACCCCACCAUGGGAAGGCCCAUACGUGGUGGCUGAGGUCCUGAAGCCAGGGACGUACAAGCUCGCGGACGAAAAAGGGGCGGUCUUCACCAACUCGUGGAACAUCAAACAGCUACGUCGAUUCUACCCCUAGAGUUUCGAAGUUUAUGUUCCCAUGUACAUUAUGUUCCAAGAUACCAUGAAUGAAUGCAUGAAUAAACAAGAUCCUUUCCUCGAGUAAUUUACUUUUUCGCCGGUCAAGGUCUCGACGUUGGAAGGGAGUACCAACUAUGACCCAGCAUAGUCGAUACUCCCUCGGGGGCUAGCAGGUGGACCCCCCCAAGUUCCUAAAAACCAAACGAUUUUUUCUUUUCUAUAAGUAUACCUCGCACGGUCGAGUAGUAAAGGCACCUCGAGCCCCUUAAGGGCCGAGAGACGACGAGCCUGAGAACCCCUACGCCCCCGGGCUAUGGUAACUCUACUCACUCCCUCACCCUCGAGGCAAUCAAGGUCGCCUUAGCAAAAGACCAAACGAGGAAACAAAGGAAUUUCGAACACAAAAGAUAAACAAAUAUUCACAAAUCAUAAGGACCAAUCGAGGCACAAUGUAUCACUUAAUAAGUACUUUACAAUGGGCCUGGGCACCCAGAAUAGGCUCGCAGGCCUCAGUCCGUGUCUCGGCCCUCACCGCCAUCGUCCGCGCCCGAGCCAGUCUCGGGAGGAAGCACUUCUGGCUCGAACAGCUUCGCCAGCCUUUCCACAGGGGCCUCCGCGUCGUCGAUCAAGGCGUGGAGCCUCUCCUCGUUCUCUGCAUCGGUCUUAGAAAUAUUGGUAACGAAACCGUGGGACACCACCUCCAUAUCAUAGGAAAAGCCUGAGCAGACAACCGCCAUUGCCCGCUUCACCCCGGUAUGAAGGGCGUCCCGCACUCGGUCCCUCAGCGUGGCACUCAGGUAGCACAACUGAUCGACCAGCGCGUCGCCACGAGGCACCUCCAUCGACUCGUCCACAGGCUCGAGUUCCCAGGAGGCCGAGAGAUCGCUUAUCGCAGUCCGCAGCCGAUCGUUCAAAGCGACCUCCCCCUCGAGCUGAGCCUUGGCGGAGCGGGCAUCGACUUGAGCAGCUAGAAGCUCAUCUUUAAGCCCUACAAAGACCGACACAAAGAAAUUAGACAACACAAAACAUGCCUUGGAAAAGAAACACGAUAGGAGAAACAUACCGCGAAUCUUCUCCUCCAGAGCCGUAUUCUCGCCAACCAAGUCGGUGUUGGCCCUCUCGAUCUCCCUAUAGGAGCGCGUCAGGUCGGUGUUGGCCACUCGCAAGUCCUCGAUCGCCUUGCCCGCCUGCGCAAUAGCUCCCUGCUUCUCCAGCAGCGCCCUCUUCAGACGAUCGACCUCGUCAGAAAGCCUGCGAGAGCGAGCCCACUCUGCCUCGAGACCCUUGAGGGCCUUCUUCUUGGCCUCCUCCACGGCGCUCCGAGCGAUUUUGCUCUUCACACACUCUCCCUUCAUCUCUCGAUAGGCCUCUCGGGUAGAGGCAAGGUCAGCCUUGAUGAGACCCUUCUCCUUGUCAAGAUCGGCGGCCGCGUCCUUGUAAAAUAUGGCCUCUUCCCGGGCCUUGGACGUGGCCUCCUCUACCAUCAUGGUCCGCUCCCUCAGCUGCAUGGCCUCUUCUGCUGCCGUCCUCGAGGCUUCCCGAGCUUCCACCAAGGCAGCCUCCCUCUCCUUCUUCUCCUCCUCAAGCGCCACAAGCUCUUUGUAGGCCUUUAGGAGCUUCUCCUGUGACUCCAGGAGUUGGUCUUUGAGAAGAGGGAGCUACUCCCAUCCGCCCCUCGUCGCGUGGAUAAAACCCAACUUCAAGCGGGAGGUCUCUUUUAGAUCCUACGAACCGGUAGUCGAACAGUAAGAAUACAAAACCAAACACCCUAGAUAACUAAGAUCCAAAGACACUUACGAAAUAAGCCUGACCGAGCCCGUUGUUGACGAUGUCAGACAAGAGUCCCACCACGUGCUUCAUCCAGAGGCGGAGCUCCUCGAGAUGUUCCCACUUUUCGGCCUCCUUCCGAUCAUCCAUAAAGAUAUUAGGCUCUGAUGGAUCGGUGGAGGCCCGAAUGCGGAUCCGACCAGGGCCCCAGUUCUCCAUCUCCUCCUCCGUGCGCGCCUUGACGCCCCGGAUGAGCUCUUGGACAGUCUCGAGCGACCCCCCAUAACGUUAAAACUGGUCGAUAAGGGAGGGGAAUCGCCCGUCGUCAUCUACCGUCCUCCAGGUCUCGGUCUCGCCGCUAUCACCCCCGCCGGACGUCCCGGCUUCAUCCUCCCCAGCGGCAUUGGGAUCUUCCCACGGACGUCGAUCUCGAAGGAAUCCACGAGCGAUCCCCUCGAUGCCAUAGAUCAUGCCCUUGAUCUCUGACUGAGGGUCCGCAGGGGUGCGCAUGGCGCAGGAAAGCACCACCACUCCGUCUGCUCGCCCUGGCUCAGCCGGGAUAGAAGCAGGCGCUCUCAGACGGAGCCACACAGGGGUCGGCGGACCAUAAACCGGCAGACCCUCCUCUCCGGUCUCAGGCCUCUACGGCGACGGCAGCACCGGCUGGGGCGGGCUUCGUGGUGGUGGGUCGAGCAGCUCUUCUAACUGCUGACCCUCUUGUUGUUACUGCCUCUAGAGUUCCAGCAGCUCUUGCUGCCGGUGUUGCUCUAGCAGCUCCUCGAGCCGUUCUCCUUGUUGCCGCCACCCUUCCUCUUCUUCUUCUUCUUCUCCUUCCCGUCACGGCUGUUGCUGCUUCUCCGGCAGCUGUUGCUGCUCCUGCAGCUGUUGCUUCUCCUGCAGCUGUUGCUGCUCCUCCCGCUCACGCUCUUCUUCUUCCUUCUUCCUCCUCUCCUCGACGGAGUGGAGCCCGAUGGGCCAAGGCGUCCGCUUUGUGGGAGAAGCCUCGACCUCCUCAUCUACGGUGUGGGCAUCCUUCGAGGAACGAGCACCACUGGACCCACCACUAACGGUAAUGGGAUUCCCUAUGCCCCCAGACUGGGGAGGCUCGGGGGCUCCCCCUGCUCUUGGGCACGAGGCGCCUCGAUUCGCCUUGGUGACGACGGGGCGAUCUCUCCCGCUGAUGGACGAGGCGGGAUGCUCUCGACGCCCGUCGAUGGCCGAGGUUCGGACGAACCUGUGUGCGUUCAAAAAUGAUACAUCAGCCAUCGAAGAACUCAACACAAGAAUCACCCAGCGCCAGUACCACUGGAAGGAGAACCAACCACUCACCCGAGUCUUUGGGAGCCGCCCCCACCUUGAGCUUCUUGGCCAUCGAGGGUUGGGCCUGUUCGAGCGGCCGCUUCAACUUGAGGAAAGGGAAAUAACAUAAGAGGAGCCGUAACCCGAGAAAAUGCGAAGACAUCGGAAGACAAGAAUCACGACGCUAAGAUCUUACCCCACAGGAAGAGCGACCCGCCUGCCAGCACCCCGACCGGCUAGCUUCGAGCUGCCUCACGUCAAGACCCAAGGCCUCUCACGGGCGGGCGCAGGCUUAGGCUCGGCGUCUCCCGUCUGGCGUGCGCCAGAACUAGAACUCCCACGACCUACCUCGCCCUGGCUUGAGGCCGUCACGGCAGCACGACCGCGAGUCAGUGGCCCCGUCGUCAUGGUCUUAACUCGAUGGCCCGCCCCAGACGCAGGAGGAGGUUGCGGGUGGGAGACGGUCUGACCCUGCGCAGGCAUAGGGGGGUAUCAGAGCGAGAGCGGCGUAGAGAGGGCUCCCUUCGUUGAUCGUCACGGGACCCGCUUGACGCCCCCUUAGGGGCCCCCGUCCGCGGAACGUCGACGUCGGCCUGUGGCGGGCCCUCGAGGAUUUUGUCCAGGCGAGCCGCCAUCCCCUCGGAGUCGUCGCUAUCGUCGUCCCCGUCGUUGCCAUCGUCUUCGUCAAGAGAUUCCUCCUCAAAUUCUCCCCUCUGCCUCGACUUCGCGCGGCGUUUCUCGAGCGCUUGUCGCUCGAGAUUCUUCUUCUUUUCCUUUUUCUUUUCUAAAUCCUUCUCGGAUUUCUGUUUCUCCGUGGACUCGCGCCUCUUAUCACGAUCGGUGUCGUUCUCUUUUACCGGAGGUCUCGAGGACCGAGCGUUGAUCGAGCCCUAAGAAAACGGAAGUAAGUCCCAGAAAAAGACGAAAAGAUAAGUGUCGAAUAACGACAGAGAAAGGCUCACCAGGUCAACCGACCCCUCAUCGGGCCUCAUGGGGAAGCCGUUGACCCGCUCAGGCUGAAAAUCACCUGCGACGGUCGCUCGGACUCUGGCGGCGACCUCGUCAUCCGUGGGCGCCACAUUAGACAUCCGGCACAUCUCGAGGUCGCGAGAUGAAACGCCAGGGCCCAUCUGGUCCAUCCUCAGCGGCCGAGACAUCAACGGGAAUACCCGUCGAUGGUGGACGACCGAGAGGACAAGCACAGCGGUCAGGCCGUCCUCACGAAGUUUCUUCAAGGCGUCGAGGAUGGGACGGAGCUGCGAUUGGAGGGUCUUGACGACGCCAUAGUUCUAGUGGUCCGGAUGCUCCGAGAUCAAGCGCCCGGUGUAGUCGGGGAAGAGGUCGUCGUCAUUCCGCAGGUAGAACCACUGGGAGUCCCACCCGGCGUGGUUCGACGUAAGCCCGACCGGGAUGUACUCUCGAGGCUCCUCCGCCUUGCCAGUCUUCAGCACCAGGUUGAGGCAGCCGGCCCGCACCGGCUUCCUCACCCCUGUGGUCCCACUAGGGGCAUUGAAGAGCUCGCCCCGGUACAGGUGGAGCCACAGGUCCCAGUGCGGCAUCAUCCCAAGGUAGCCCUUGCACACCGCUGCGAAAACUGCCGCGGCGGUGAUGGCAUUCGGUGAAAAGUGCUGGAGCUCCACACCAUAAUGGUGGCAGAGCGCCCCCAUAAAACGGCUCGAAGGGGAGCCCAGGCCGUGGCGGUGGAACUUGGCGAAGGAGACCACGUAGCCCUUCGGCGGUCUUGGUUUCCGGUGGUCCGCCGCUGGCGCGAUCCACUCCGGCCGCGACGAGGAAACGCGGGGGUGCAGGAGCUCCUCCCUCUCGAGCUCCAACAGCCGGCGCUCCGUCAUCGACGAUGGGCGCCAGUCGUCGACAGCGAUGAGUCUCACCGGCAUCUUGAAAAAGGCGAGAAGGCGAUGUGUGCUCGAGGGUGCGCGCGCGUGGAGACGGAGAGAAGGCAGAGGCAAGAGCAAAGGCGGAAGGCGGAAGACAGAAGGAGUAACGGCUGGGAGAUCCGGCGAUAUUUAUAGGCGGCUAGCCCCCAACGGACAGAUCCGGCGGAUACGGUAAUUCCCCUAGUAGUAAAUAAAUGCGCCGCCUAACGGUCCUUGCUUCUCUCACUGACAGGGCACUACAAAUUCCAUGAAGCUACAGUACCGCAACGGCUCCCGCCUGAAAAGGCGCGCCCAUCGGGCAAAACCUUCCCCUGCAAGCUAAGGUAUGUGUUGACGGUCCUUAAGUAUCAAAUUUAAUUAUCAAAUAAACAAAGAAAAGGAUCCAAAUGAAAUCAACAUCUAGACUUAGGGUUUUAUCUGAUAGAAUUCCAUGAGUUUUGGUGUUUGUCUAUUUCUAUAGGGGGUUAUCAGGAAAUACGGAAGAAAGGCCCACACAUCGGGAUUACAUAGAGAUAUUAACGUGCCGCGCAAUUAUCUUACAUCUAGAAGACUCCAGAAGCCACGAGACCGAAGCGGAGAGGAAACGGGGCCAGAGGCAGGGCGCCCACCCUCCUGCCCUAGGCGCCCACCCCCUCUGAGAGUCCAAUCAGGACUCUGCUUCGUGGGAGAUCUCCACCGACCUAAAGGAUCAAGGAUAACCGUUCAAUCAAUGUCGGUUUGAUCCGACGGCCCAGGUUCACUUGAGGGGACUAUAUAACCAGACCCCCUGGCCCCUGGAGGAGGCACCCCUUGAUCAUUAUUCAUUAUUCAUAGACAGAGCAAAAGCUAGGGUUUAGAGAUGAGAGCUCUCCUCUCUUCUCUAAACUAGAGUAGAUCUAGAUAGUAGCGAGAUGGAGAGCGAAGGAGGAUUAGAGGAGAGGCCGGCCUGUCGGUUCUUCCUCCGGUUGUACUUCGUCAUGAUCAAGCUCUAAUCAAGCUUGCUCAUGGGAUGACUCUGGUAAUCUACUUCUAAUUCAUUAUGCAAUUACUAAUCAUGUAUGUUCUGGUUCACAACUCUUUUGAGUACUUCUAAUCUAUAGGACGCUAUAGGUUAGAGUUGUAGUAUAGGUGUAAGCGUGGUGCUUAGAUCUAGAUUACUUGUGGAUAUCCCCUGUCUAGCUGGAUCGUGUGGUAGGCCGCGUAGGUGACAGUUACGUUGGUCCUCUGUAGUCCACCUCUCGUUAGCAGGAUGGGUAGGGUUUAUCAGCCUAUGGAUAAGCAUCCUUUGUGGUGUAAUCUUAUCACGUGGUUCGUCCCAGACAUAGACAUACCCCUUUGAAGUAGAGAAACCAUAGUUAUCCUCUCUAUUCUGCUAUCAUCGCCCAUAUACUAGAUUGCUCUACUCUCUAUUCCCAUAUUAUCACCUAUUGUUAUCUUACCUUUAAUAUUGUUCUUAUUCAAUUAUACCAUCUUUCCUAUUUACACUUAUCUAUCUAUCUUGGUUAAGUUAGAGCGUAGUUGGUUCUCCCGUUUCCUUGUGGAUACGAUAAAACCUUUAACCGGGUAAAAGCUUCAACGGUAUCCGUGCGCUUGCGGAUUAUCUGUGUGCGUAUAAAUACCAUAGUACACUCUAGUGCCUUGCUGGGGAUGACAACCUAGUAUUCAAGUGGUGUUAGCAAGUGUCAACAAGCAUUUUUGGCGCCGUUGCCGGGGAAACGGUUGCUGAGUUGACUGCGAACUAGCUUAAUCAUUUUCUAAAAAAAAUAAAAUAUAUAUAUAUAUAUAUAUUUUCCUUUUAUCCUUUGCCUCAUCUCUGCUAUUCUUUCUUCUUAUCUAAUCCUUGAUCUCUGGUCUAUCAUGAAUUCAAACAUGUCUAUCUAUGAAUUCCAUAGACCUACGGGCACACAUCUCGAACCACCAAAAUCUUUAAAGCCUAUCAUAGCAUCUAGUUUUGAGAUAGACCCCGAAUACAUAGAAUUUGUUCAAAAACAACCUUUCUCAGGAGAAGGUGAGGAAAACCCAUACACACACCUAAGAGAGUUUUAUAGAGUCUGUGACCUCCUUCGCAUAGAAGGAAUGUCCGAUGAGACCCUUAAAUGGAAGCUCUUUCUGUUCUCUUUAACGGGAAAAGCUAGACAUUGGUACAAACUCAAAGUAGGGAGUGUUCAUGGAGAUUGGAAGGAGUUACAUAAUAGUUUUCUUUUAAAAUAUUUUCCAAUCUCCAAAGUGGUGGAACUUCGGCGUGAGAUUCUUUCUUUUAGACAACUAGAAGAAGAAUCUCUUGGCAAAUCAUGGGACCGCUUUAUUAACCUUACUCUCACUGGCCCAAAGCUUUCUAUUCCAGAAGAAGUUCUUCUAAUUCAUUUUUUGAGGGCCUUAGUAGGGAAGAUAAGAAAACCCUUCAUGUGGCCUCUGGAGGAUCUUUCCACCACCUAUCCGCUAGUGAAGCUUGGAAUUUGAUUUAUUUAAUGAGCGGAAAGUCUCCUAGCUUUUAUAUCCCUAAGAAAGAGACAGAACCAGUUCCUAGACAAAAAGAAGAAGUUUCGAUAGCCAGAUCACAACCACUUCAAUUCCAAACUUUAGCUAUCAAUCAUAAACCAUCAAUACCCCAAAAUUCUCUAAGGGAGGAAGGAAUUCUGACCUUAAAUCUUUCAGAUGCUGAUGGUUUAGACUUCUGGUUCCAUAAGAGACCUUCAAGCAAGGAUAAUUCAAAUCCUUGCAAUAAUGUUUCUCUUAGAGAAUGUCCUGGUUCCUGUUAUGAAGAAGUCGAGGAUGACAUAUCAAGUGAAGGAGAGCUAAGCCAUAUAGAAAAUUCUAUCAGCUCCCCUUUCCUGAUCACAAGUUCCAAAUGGCUAGAAUGUGUAGAAUGGAUGGAUAAGGAAGAAGCCUUAAUGGAUUCUGACUUUGGCUCAAUUUCAAAUGGUGAGUUCUUGACUCCCUUUGAAGAUGAGAUUCAUCCAACUACAGAAGAGGACAUAGGUGAGACCAAUCCAGGAGAUACUCCGAACAUUCAGAUUGGAGACGAAGAUAACAUUAAUGAGCUUGGAAUUUAUUUCAUAGCCAUUUCAUUCACUCCAUGCUCAUAUGCAACAUCUUCCCAAUCUAUUGGUCUCUCCAACAUCACCACAUUUGAGAUCUCCAACCCCCUCUUCCUUUCUAUUUAUAAAAACUUUAAAAGGGUGGUUGUCGAUGCAUAUGUCUAUAAUAAAUAUUGCAGAUCUCGUUGAGUUGAUCUUGAUUUAGGUCAGCGUUGGAAGGGAAACCACUUCGCCGACAUAAAUUGAUGGUUUCCCAAGGACAAGCUUGGUGUCCUAAAAUAAGCACUGAUCAGAUCAUAACAUGAGUUUUUAAUUAUUUGCAACAUUACCUUGUGUAUUGAGCAUAUAAGGAUAAUUGUAAAAAUAUUCCUUCGGGUAUUCUUGUCACUAACCUUUCCAGGAUUGGAACAAGAAGAUCAGAUGAAUGACAAGCAAGUACAAGGUAUGUCCAACCAAUCAUCAUGCAACACUGAAUUAAAUUCAUCCAAACUUGAAUUCUGCAAAAUUCAAGCUUGGGGGAGUACUUUACAUAAAAACAUCCUUUGCCAUGUUGCUAUGUUGGUUGUCCCUACCUUUGAGACAUGCUCAAUUUGUUAAAUACUAAUCACACUACUUCAUCUCCACUUGAGUAGAUCUCUAUAAAUGCUGUCAUGUUACCUUUGUCUAUUUACUAGUAAGUGUUAGUUUGGAAGUACUGCACAUACUUCUAUUGGCUUUUAAAUUAAGCAUGGUGCUUAGGUUAAACAGCCUUCCUUAAUCUGAUUAGACAUGGAGUCUAGUUCGGUUAUUGAACUAAAAACUGCUUGUGUAGACAUUGGUAUAUUUUUGUCGGACUAACCCCUGCAGAAAAACUUUCAAUAUCAACCUAGGAAGUCCUGAGAGAAACUCAUCUCAGAGAUGAAGAAAGUGACACAUGAAGUUUAACAAUUUACACAAGGAAGACGUAGCUCAUAAGAGAUGAUCCAUGGAGGGUGCCACAAACACGAUACACAACCACUACGAAUGGGAAGCUUCCACAAGGUAAGAUGGUACCAUCACUCUUCAAUUAAGGUAACAUCUUAAGAUAUCUGACUAUCACUUUUAUAAGCUUCUCCUUGGUUCUAGCGUUCACAUAAAUAAAGAGACAAACAUGUAUGAUUUAUAAAUCCAAAUUAACCAACCCAACUGAUUCAGCAUGUUUAGUCCUUUAAUCUUUGUUCUUAGUACUACCUCCAUGAUCCCACACUCCUAAUCAUAUGAGCUAAAAUGUUACACAUUCAAUCAUUGAGAGAUAUAAAGAAAAAGACAUAUACAUAGAUAGAUUAUCUUUCCAUAAGGUUGAGCGAUCUGAUCUGACAAAUGUUAUAAGUGCUACACUCAUGAACUUUUCAUCCAUCAACUUUGUCUUGCUCACUAUGCUUAGGGUUAGAGAAGAACAAAUACACUUUAGGUUCUGUUGGUGUUUUCCACCAACAGGACCCAUGCACUUGAUCUCUGCCUUAUCUCUAUGAGCAGGUACACUUCGAGCAAAACACGGAGGAGUUUUAUAACUCUCAGACUCUACCAAGUGAAGGACCUGGAUCUACGAGCACAAACACACUGAGCAGGAUACUGCCAACACCGUACUCGAACUACUGGGCAAACGAAGAGGUGCAGACGUCAAGGUCCGCACCUGAAUCAAAUGACGCACCUGAAGAAUGAACACGGUGAGAAGUCUUGUUAAGAAGACUUAAAACAUUGAACCCUUGCCGAAAGGUAAGAUCAGUAGUUAUCCAUAUUUAUCCUUUCUGCAUUCCCUUUUCCCUUUAAUUAUUUACUUUCCUUAAAUAGAUUAUUAGUUAAUCAUGCUAUCUUGAAAAGAAAAUAAAAAUGUUAAAAAAUACUAAGCCCCAUGUGAGUAUAUGAGUGGCAUAAAACCCAUAAGUACCUUCACUGUGGUGGCAUAAAAAUAAAAUAAAUAUUUCUUUUCUGCUUUAUAAAAUAAAAAUAUAAAAAUAGGGAGUAAUAUUUAUUGAGGAAGCUCAACAUGAUGAAGGCUAGAUAUUUAUGCUAACACUUAAUUAGUUCCACAAGCUUUGUUGUCUAUUUGAGCUCCACAGAAUUUAAGAAUCAAGAAGACUAGCAGACGGAGGACAUUCUAAUCGCUGUCAGAAUGCUGCUGACUUUCAAAUACACCUCUGCCACCUGCUAGCUACAUCAAGAGAAAUUACGUUAAAAUUCAGCUUGGGGGUGAAGGCUAGAUAUUUAUGCUAACACUUAAUUAGUUCCACAAGCUUUGUUGUCUAUUUGAGCUCCACAGAAUUUAAGAAUCAAGAAGUAGCAGACGGAGGACAUUCUAUUCGCUGUCAGAAUGCUGCUCACUUUCAAAUACACCUCUGCCACCUGCUAGCUACAUCAAGAGAAAUUACGUCAAAAUUCAGCUUGGGGGAGAGCACCCCCAUUUAUCUCGCUAAGUAUUUCUACCUAUCUUUAUACUUAUAUUAUGUUAGAAUAUUAAAAUACAUAAACUAUGAAAAACCAAAUAAAGAUUUUGUGCUUAUAUAUAUAUAUAUAUAUAUAUAUCUUUUGCUUAGUGUGUUUAAUAAAUAAAUAAAGUGGCUAUGCUAAUCUGAAUCUUAAUAAUAAAACUCUAGCAUGGAUAUGAUGAAUAGUUGCUCUGCCUAAUUCGCAAAUUUGAAGUUCUCUCUCAAGUUUAGACAUAACUGUUAUAAUUUAAAGCUUGCUCUAGAUCUAAACUUGUGGGAUGAAAACUUGAUCUGAAAUCUAAGUUGUUAACGGAUAUGAUAUGGGAAGGUUGAGCUGCUGUUUAUCUGUUCCUAGAGAUGCUAGAAUUCUGGAGAAUUUUAUCUUUGAAAAAUCUUUAAAAUAUUGCAUGAUGAGUUCCUGUAUGAUGAGAGUUUAAAUUCCUACCACAGCCAUAUAUACAUGCUUGCUAGACUUUGAGCCACACAUUUACUAUUUACUGCUUAUGAGCAUUGAGUGUGGUCAAGCUGUGUAGACCCUUAGGAGCUUGUCAUGUGGUUAAAUCAAGAUUCACUUGCACGUUCACUCAUAUAUGCUACUUCUACUCCGGAAGUACCAUCCACAUAUAUCCAUCCAUGUCCAUCUCCAGAACCACCCAAAAAUAUUCUACUCCUAAUCCGGGAGAGAAUAGCCAAAAAUAUUUUUGUUUUCCCUUGUGAAAUAGAUGCUCAAGUUAUCUUGCUACUACCACUUGCUAUAUUAUCUCAAGAGAUGAGUGCUCUGAAAAAAAAGAAGAAAAGAGAAGAAAAAAAAUAAAUGAGGAAAUAAAAAGGGGCAAGUGCCCGGAACCUCGAAAGAAAGAAAAAGUGAGACGAGAGGUAAAAAUGGACAAGUGUCCGACAGUAGAAUUAGGGGUACAAGAUACCCAUCUGAGAGGAAAGAAAAAGAAGAGCAUCUCAUUCUCCUCAUAAAGUUUUAAAAAGCAAGAAAGGUAUGUAUCCCCUCAAAAGAGCAAAAGUAGAAUUAGACUUUCACCAUUGUUAUCACCAUCAUCACCAUACACCAUUCAUUCGCCACACAUGCACAUCUUGAUUUGGCUUAUUGAUUUGUUUCUUUGGAUCCAUGGUUUGACUAUACAAUAAAUGUCUUGUAAGUAUGUAUACUUUAUCUCCCACCUAUGAGCUCCAGAUAUUAAAGCCUUAUUAGAGUAGGGUGAGAGAGAAGGCAAUGUCACUAUGCCUUAUACCACAAAUACCACAUAUCUUGAGAGAAGGCAUAUACCAUCACUGCCUUGGUAAGGAUCCAGAAAUACCACAAAAGAGAGAUUUAGAGAGUCAUACAAGGAACCUCUGAGUUUUAUUUGAAAAUCUGCAAAAACUCCAGAGCUAUAGCUGAUCAAGAAUAAGAGACAUGGCACUUGGCUAGACUGUUCUAUCUUUUAACUACUCAAGACAGAAGUGACGGUUACAAGUCCCAUGGUGAAAGGUAAAGUAAGUAAGUUUUAGUUCUUGACAGUUUACUCUAACUCAGAGAUAAGAUCUUAUUUAAAAGCAUGUGUACCGUCAAAUUUUUAAGAUAUUGCUACAACUUCUGAUCCAUUGCUAAGUCUAUCCUUGCUCAGGGACGAGCAAGAGGUAAGCUUGGGGGAGUUUGUUGACGGUCCUUAAGUAUCAAAUUUAAUUAUCAAAUAAACAAAGAAAAGGAUCCAAAUGAAAUCAACAUCUAGACUUAGGGUUUUAUCUGACAAAUUCCAUGAGUUUUGGUGUUUGUCUAUUUCUGCAGGGGGUUAUUAGGAAAUACGGAAAAAGGCCCACACAUCGGGAUUACAUAGAGAUAUUAACGUGCCGCGCAAUUAUCUUACAUCUAGAAGACUCCAGAAGCCACGAGACCGAAGCGGAGAGGAAACGGGGCCAGAGGCAGGGCGCCCGCCCCCUCUGAGAGUCCAAUCAGGACUCUGCUUCAUGGGAGAUCUCCACCGACCUAAAGGAUCAAGGAUAACCGUUCAAUCAAUGUCGGUUUGAUCCGACGGCCCAGGUUCACUUGAGGGGACUAUAUAACCAGACCCCCUGGCCCCUGGAGGAGGCACCCCUUGAUCAUUAUUCAUUAUUCAUAGACAGAGCAAAAGCUAGGGUUUAGAGAUGAGAGCUCUCCUCUCUUCUCUAAACUAGAGUAGAUCUAGAUAGUAGCGAGAUGGAGAGCGAAGGAGGAUUAGAGGAGAGGCCGGCCUGUCGGUUCUUCCUCCGGUUGUACUUCGUCAUGAUCAAGCUCUAAUCAAGCUUGCUCAUGGGAUGACUCUGGUAAUCUACUUCUAAUUCAUUAUGCAAUUACUAAUCAUGUAUGUUCUGGUUCACAACUCUUUUGAGUACUUCUAAUCUGUAGGACGCUAUAGGUUAGAGUUGUAGUAUAGGUGUAAGCGUGGUGCUUAGAUCUAGAUUACUUGUGGAUAUCCCUUGUCUAGCUGGAUCGUGUGGUAGGCCACGUAGGUGACAGUUACGUUGGUCCUCUGUAGUCCACCUCUCGUUAGCAGGAUGGGUAGGGUUUAUCGGCCUAUGGAUAAGCAUCCUUUGUGGUGUAAUCUUAUCACGUGGUUCGUCCCAGACAUAGACAUACCCCUUUGAAGUAGAGAAACCAUAGUUAUCCUCUCUAUUCUGCUAUCAUCGCCCAUAUACUAGAUUGCUCUACUCUGUAUUUCCAUAUUAUCACCUAUUGUUAUCUUACCUUUAAUAUUGUUCUUAUUCAAUUAUACCAUCUUUCCUAUUUACAAUUAUCUAUCUAUCUUGGUUAAGUUAGAGCGUAGUUGGUUCUCCCGUUUCCCUGUGGAUGCGAUAAAACCUUUAACCGGGUAAAAGCUUCAACGGUAUCCGUGCGCUUGCGGAUUGUCUGUGUGCGUAUAAAUACCAUAGUACACUCUAGUGCCAUGCUGGGGAUGACAACCUAGUAUUCAAGUGGUGUUAGCAAGUGUCAACAGUAUGCAUUCAUCACGAUGAAAAUCUCGAGAGGUCGCAGGCUGACCCACCGAAUGGGUUCGACAGUCGAUCUCGAGUACUAGAGUCAGAGAUGCCCAGCGAGUGGUCGAAAAGCGAGGCCCGCCUCGAGAACUCGCUGGGGAUGUCCAAGGCGAGGACGAGACGGUCGAGAGGGAUCCCCACGAAGGGAGGCAUCGAGCUGCUGGACUCUAUAGAACGAGACCAGUAACCCCGACCAUGUCGACCCCGCUUUAUGAGAACGCCUCCGGGCUACAGCUGACCCCCUCGAACGGGGCACAGGUUCUCACAAGGAUUACCCGAUAGGAGGUCAAUCUGGGGUAGAGGACGCUCGCUCCACUGGGAGUACGUCGCAAACCCGACGCUAAACCAACCGAUCGAAGCCUCUAGCUCCUCCUCCAUGACGAACACCAAGAGCGCUUCUGUCAGAUAAGACUACAUAACCCACAAAGGAGUCAAAGACUCCUCCAAGGGCUCGGGGGCUACCCCCGGGGGGGUCGCUCGCGUGACCCCACGGAAACUCGACCGAGAGCCUCUACUCGAGCGCAAAGCGCUCGAAUAGAGACUCAGGGGCUACUGUCGAGGGUAUCAGUAAGGGGUACCCUAACCAACGUACAUAACGAGAGUACCCGUACAUAAAUCGAGGCCCCAUCGACGCCCCCCCGAUCGCAUGCACGAUUGUCGAGACAAGACGACGCCCAUAGCCUCGAACACGGAAAGAGCAUCGUCCGAAUCAACAGGGGCUCGACCGAACAGCAGCCGUCGAAUACGGAAACUGGCUCGUACGAAUCAACAAGCCUCGAGCGCAAGGACGCCGCCCGUCGCCUGAUGUGGGUAUGGGAACCAGGGCAUUUAAUGCGCCUGUCGUGUUCUCACCUAACACGACAGUCACGGGAAGCGUGAUAGGGAGCAAGCACCCAUCCAAUCACCCCUUUUGCAGCCUUGUCCACCGGAUGAGUCAGAGCUUGGCAGGGCGCAGCGAGGCGGAUGGGACGUCUCGUCACGACCCCCCUCGAGACGCCUAAAGUCAGCGCUCCAACCAGCAGGGCUUCACGCGGCGUCAGACCCUCGAGCAGGCACACUCCUUCCCUAAGAAGGGUCAGGUGGUGAAAGUUAGCGCCCCAACCACUCUGACGCGACUGAAGCCACGACGUACAGGCGUGCCCACGGUUGUGCCAAUCCAGGACGACAUGCAGAAGCCGGAUUCAGGGGCACACGUAAUCAUCAUCUAAGUACUGGGUAACAAGACGGCUCGAGGCCACGCCGGUACGGAAGUCUUGAGUAUGUCAGCGCGCCACACCCCUAUCGACCCCUACUCUGUCACCUACGCAUGUAACCUAGGUCUCCCCUUGGAACUAUAAAAGGGGAAGCUCAGGAAAGGAUGAGGGACACAAGACAUAUGUAGAAGAGCAACCAUACUUCAUCUCCAUCCAUCCAUACCAUACCGACUUGUAUUCACCCAUGUACAAGCACUUAGGUGCAAGAUAAAAGAAACACCUCUCCCCCCGCUGGACGUAGGGCCUUCUCUUGCCCGAACCAGGAUAAAUCUUUGUCUCUUUUCUUGCAUCACCAUCUGGAAAGGGGAGCACGCACAAGUUUUACUCGCUGGUGUGACCCCCCGGGGGGAAAAUACCGACACACAGUUUGCGCCUAGUGCACCAUAGUCUAAGAAACCAUAUUGGAUGCACUAUUUGGUACUCUUGCGUGAAGAGGCUCAAGUGGAAGCUUGGUUCGGUCAGUUUGGAGAUAGUGCUAAUCCUUAUGCAAGGUAGGUGCAUAGUUUGCAUGGAACAUACCAUAUGCUUGGAAAUCAAUUUGGAUGCACCCGAUGGAACUCCUUGACGACGUGUGUCAUAUGGAAUCUCGCUUCGGUCCAUUUGGAGACAUUGUUAGUUUUGGUGCAAGAUAUGUGCACAGUUUGCACCUAAUGCACCAUAGUCUAAGAAACCAUUUUGGACGCACCUGUUUGUACUUCGGGGAAAGAGGCUCAAGUGGAAGCUCAGUUUGAUAUGUUUAUAGAUAGUGCUAAUCUUGAUGCAAGAUAGGUGCAUGAUUUGCAAGGAACAUACCAUAUGCUUAGAAAUCAAUUUGGACGCACCCAAUGGAACUCCUAGAUGAUGUGUGUCAUAUGGAAUCUUGCUUCGGUCCGUUUGUAGACAUUGUAAGUUUUAGUGCAAGAUAGGUGCACAGUUUGCGCCUAAUGCACCAUAGUCUAAGAAACCAUUUUGGAUGCACUAUUUGGUACUCUUGGGUGAAGAGGCUCAAGUGGAAGCUUGGUUCGGUCAGUUUGGAGAUAGUGCUAAUCCUUAUGCAAGGUAGGUGCAUGGUUUGCAUGGAACAUACCAUAUGCUUGGAAAUCAAUUUGGAUGCACCCGAUGGAACUCCUUGACGACAUGUGUCAUACGGAAUCUCGCUUCGGUCCAUUUGGAGACAUUGUUAGUUUUGGUGCAAGAUAGGUGCACAGUUUGUACCUAAUGCACCAUAGUCUAAGAAACCAUUUUGGACGCACUUGUUGGUACUCCUAGGUGAAGGGGCUCAAGUGGAUGCUCGGUUCGGUCUGUUUGGAGAUAGUGCUAAUCUUGAUGCAAGAUAGGUGCAUGGUUUGCAUGGAACAUACCAUAUGCUUGGAAAUCAAUUUGGAUGCACCCGAUGGAACUCCUUGAUGACGUCUGUCAUAUGGAAUCUCACUUUGGUCUGUUUAGAAAUAGUGUUAGUUUCAGUGCAAGAUAUGUGCAUGGUUUGCGCCUAAUGCACCAUAUAAUGCGAACCCGCUAGGGUUUUUGGCCUGAUCUUUCGAUGAGAGGCGCUGGAUAACUCGAUUAGUGGAUGGAGAUGACGUUCACGGCCCGACUACAGCCCUCAAGACCGCGCCUUAGCAACCGAUACACCACGUCCAACAGCCGUCACGAUCUUGUGGAGCGCGACAACCAGCCCCUAGGGCUCCCGUCCUGCAAGCAAUCGAAGAACUAGCAAGAACGAGGAAACAAGCACUGAAUUUGCAAGAUGAAUUGAAGGUUUUAAACUGAAUCUUAAUCAACAAUGGGGUUCCGAAGACAAGGAGACGGGCGGCUGAUCCUGCACGCGCGCCUACAAGCAAGUAGCGAAGGCUAAACUUGAUCUAAACAAAACCCAGUUGUUCAUGGCGGCUCUAGAUGUAAAUAAAUAGAGGGGAGGACGACCAAAGGGGUGCUAGAGUCAUCCUCCAACCCUAGGACGCGUCCCUAAUGGACUCAACUUGAUACAUGGGCCAUUGGUCCAAAAUAGGGUGACGCAGCACCAAAACAGAAAAAGGUGUCGGCACGAAAACAAGGACUGCGCCCGACUCAUAAGCUGCAUAGAUAUGUGGUUGGACCCAUUGGAAAGUAGACUUCAUGAGCUUUCCAACAAGUAUAGGAACGUCCCAGUUGGAGUCCAUAUGACGCCGUGGUGAUCCAUACAAGUUAGAGUUAUUUUCCAGUCCGAAUCCAACUCCCAAAACGUGUUGGGUUUGGACUCUUUGUUUCCUUGCUUUAGAAGCGACGUGGUCACUUGAUAGAGGAUGUUGUGGAGGCUUGGACCUGAUCUCCAAUCACCUUUGUUAAGUUAUCACUCUUCCCAUAUGCAAUCAGCCCUUGAAGUUGGUGUUGCCUCAAAUUCUGAAUGCAGUUGAACCUUCCCUUGCUGAUCUUGUCCAUUAUUCCUGAGCAACACGAAAGUGCACGUGUCUCCAUUGUCUAAAUAUGAUUGACAAGAGUUUAAAACUGAACUUACUUGAAGGUUGAGUUGAUGGGCACGAGCACGAGUAAGAGGACCAGCUAUAGGUUGUGUCGGAGAGGAUGUAGGACCAGCUAUAGGUUGUGCCGGAGAGGAUGUAGGAUAUGUAUCGCUGGUGGAUGUAGGAUAUGUAUCGCUGGUGUUGAUGUCCUCAUCAUCCUCCCUUUCUUGCAUUUGAGUCGUCCUCGACUCAAGCUCAUCUUCCUCACCGAAAUAAGGCUUCAAAUCUGCAAUGUUAAAUGUGGGACUAACCCCAAAAUCUGCAGGAAGAUCAAGCUUAUAUGCAUUCUCAUUAAUUCGUUGCAGCACUUUAAAAGGACCAUCAGCUCUAGGCAUCAAUUUGGAUUUUCUCAGUUCUAGAAAUCUAUCUUUUCGCAAAUGCAACCAAACCAAAUCCCCAGGUUCCAGAAUCAAUUGCUUUCUACCUUUAUCUCCAGCGCAUUUGUACUUAGCAUUCAUGCGCUCUAUGUUUUGUUUAGUGGCUUCAUGCAAUUUUAACAUCAAUUCAGCACGUUGCUUAGCAUCAAAAUUUAUUUUUUCAGAACUUGGCAAAGGCAUUAAAUCAAUAGGAGCACGUGGCAAGAAGCCAUAGACAAUCUCAAAAGGACACAUUUUUGUAGUAGAAUGCAAUGAAUGAUUAUAGGCGAACUCAAUAUGAGGCAAACAUUCUUCCCACAUCUUAAUAUUCUUCUUUAAAACAGCCCUUAACAUAGUGGAUAAAGUUCUAUUAACAACUUCAGUUUGACCAUUAGUUUGGGGAUGACAAGUGGUGGAAAAUAAAAGCUUAGUCCCCAAUUUGAACCACAAAGUCUUCCAAAAAUGACUAAGAAAUUUAGCAUCACGAUCAGAAACAAUUGUGUUGGGCACACCAUGUAAGCGAACAAUUUCUCGAAAGAACAAAUCAGCAAUAUUUGUAGCAUCAUCAGUUUUAUGACAUGGUAUAAAAUGUGCCAUCUUAGAAAAUCUAUCAACAACCACAAACACACUAUCACGUCCCCUCCUAGUCCUCGGUAGUCCCAACACAAAAUCCAUAGAUAUAUCCUCCCAAGGAGCAUUAGGAACAGGAAGAGGUAAAUACAAACCAUGGGGAUUUAACCGUGACUUUGCCUUUUGGCAUGUUGUGCAACGAGCAACAAACCUCUCCACAUCUCUCCUCAUCCUUGGCCAAAAGAAAUGACCAGCAAGUAUGUCCUCCGUCUUCUUUGCUCCAAAAUGUCCCAUCAAACCUCCUCCAUGAGCUUCCUGUAACAACAACAAACGAACAGAGCUAGCUGGAAUGCAUAGCUUGCUAGCUCUAAACACAAACCCAUCACUGACGAUGAAUUUAUUCCACCCUUUUCCAUCUUUACAAUGCAGCAACACGUCUCUAAAAUCAGCAUCAUGAACAUAUUGGUCUUUAAUUGUUUCUAACCCAAAUAUCUUGUAAUCAAGUUGAUUCAGCAAAGUAUAUCUCCGUGAUAAAGCAUCAGCAAUAAUAUUUUCCUUCCCUUUCUUGUGCUUAAUAAUAUAAGGAAAAGAUUCAAUAAAUUCAACCCAUUUUGCAUGCCUAUGAUUUAGUUUUCCUUGACUACGAAUAUGUUUCAAAGAUUCAUGAUCAGAAUGGAUAAUAAACUCUUUGGGCCACAAAUAAUGCUGCCAUGUCUCUAAUGUUCUAACAAGAGCAUAGAGUUCUUUAUCAUAAGUUGAAUAAUUGAGAACAGGCCCACUCAAUUUCUCACUAAAAUAUGCAAUAGGUUUUCCCUCUUGUAAUAAAACACCUCCCAAACCAAUUCCACUAGCAUCACAUUCAAGCUCAAAAGUCUUAUUAAAAUCAGGAAGUUGUAGGAGAGGUGCAUGAGUUAACUUAUCUUUCAACAUGUUGAAUGAAUUCUCUUGUGCUUUGCCCCAAUCAAAAGGCACCCCCUUCUUUGUAAGCUCAUUCAAUGGUGCAGCAAUGGUGCUGAAAUCCUUCACAAAACGGCGAUAGAAUCCAGCAAGUCCUAGGAAACUCCGCACCUGGGUGAUAGUAUUUGGGACAGGCCAUCCCUGUAUAGCUUCCACCUUGGCUUGAUCAACCUCAAUUCCCUGUGGAGUCACAACAUAACCAAGAAAAGACACUCGAUCGGUGCAAAAGGUGCACUUCUCAAGGUUACCAAAUAAACGUGCCUCGCGUAGUGCAUUAAAAACAGCACGUAAAUGAUCAAGAUGUUCAUCCAAUGAUUUGUUGUAAAUCAAUAUGUCAUCAAAAUAUACGACAACAAAUUUCCCAAUGAAAGCACGCAAGACCUCGUUCAUUAAUCUCAUGAAAGUACUAGGUGCAUUAGUUAAACCAAAAGGCAUGACUAACCACUCAUACAAACCGAACUUAGUUUUNNNNNNNNNNNNNNNNNNNNNNNNNNNNNNNNNNNNNNNNNNNNNNNNNNNNNNNNNNNNNNNNNNNNNNNNNNNNNNNNNNNNNNNNNNNNNNNNNNNNNNNNNNNNNNNNNNNNNNNNNNNNNNNNNNNNNNNNNNNNNNNNNNNNNNNNNNNNNNNNNNNNNNNNNNNNNNNNNNNNNNNNNNNNNNNNNNNNNNNNNNNNNNNNNNNNNNNNNNNNNNNNNNNNNNNNNNNNNNNNNNNNNNNNNNNNNNNNNNNNNNNNNNNNNNNNNNNNNNNNNNNNNNNNNNNNNNNNNNNNNNNNNNNNNNNNNNNNNNNNNNNNNNNNNNNNNNNNNNNNNNNNNNNNNNNNNNNNNNNNNNNNNNNNNNNNNNNNNNNNNNNNNNNNNNNNNNNNNNNNNNNNNNNNNNNNNNNNNNNNNNNNNNNNNNNNNNNNNNNNNNNNNNNNNNNNNNNNNNNNNNNNNNNNNNNNNNNNNNNNNNNNNNNNNNNNNNNNNNNNNNNNNNNNNNNNNNNNNNNNNNNNNNNNNNNNNNNNNNNNNNNNNNNNNNAAAAAAAGGGGGUCCAAAGAGUUUCCACGGACGGCAGUGCACGCUUUACCUGAACGUGUUAUGCCGCUAUGUUGAGAAUUUUGCGAUCAUGGUAUAGAAAAGAAUACUGAUUUGAUCUACCAUGAUGCAUAGAAUCUCUAUCAAAUUGCCAAGGUCUACCUAGCAGAAUGUUACAAGCUUGCAUAGGCACAACAUCACAUUCAACAAUAUCUUUGUAGGAUCCGAUGGAAAAAUUAAUUCUCACAAGUCUAGUUACCUUUGCCUUACCACUGUUGUUCAGCCAUUGGAUGUAGUAGGGAUGCGGGUGUGGUUUGGUGUUGAGGGCAAGCUUCUGCACCAUAUCGCUGCUUGCCAAGUUGUUGCAGCUACCUCCAUCAAUGAUCAUGCGACAAGAAUGCUCUUUGAUGACACACUUUGUUUGGAAUAAAAUGUGUCGCUGAUUUUGCUCCGCCAUCUCCAUUUGUGCACUAAGCACUCGCUGCACGAUCAAGCUCUCAUAGUGGUCCGCUUCACCUGCAUUAAUAUGUUCUUCUAUUUGAUCUUCAUUACCUGCAUGGUCAGUCGCAAGCAGUGCAAGUGUAUCCUCAUCAAAAUCACUAGCAGAUGAGUACUCACCAUCAUCCCUGACAAUCAUAACUCGCUUGUUUGGGCAGUCACGCAUCAUGUGCCCAUAUCCCUUGCACCGAUGACAUUGUAUGUUGCUUGUUCUACCCGUCGAUGCCACGGAUGAAGUACUCGCAGCAGGCUUUUGCAUCGUCUUCACAACUGAAUUGGUGGGGGCAGCUCGAGCCUUGUCACUAGAUGAUGGAGUAGAAAUACGUGUAGAUGGAGUUGAAGCCAUGUGUUGCUGCCAUGACUUAGCCUUCCCUGCAGAAAUAUUACUCCUUGCGCUAGCACGUCGUCCCUGCACUUCCCUUUCAGCUUUACAAGCAAGAUGAAACAAACGGGUUACAUUAUUGUAUUCUUUGUAAGCGAGGAUGUCCUGAAUUUCCCGAUUUAACCCACCCAAAAAUCUAGCCAUAGCCGGUUCCUCAUCCUCCUCUAGGUUACAACGCAACAUACCCGUUUGUAAUUCCUGAUAAUAUUCUUCUACACUUUUAGCACCUUGUCUUAACUGCUGCAACUUAUUUAUCAUAUCACGCGCAUAGUAAGAUGGAACAAAUCUAGCUCUCAUGGCCCUUUUCAGCGCAUCCCAAGUUCUAGGUAAGUUAUUAGGAUUUUUCUUUCCAUAUUCUAUCCACCAAACAGAAGCAAAAUCUGUAAACUCACUAGUAGCAGCCCUAACACGUGUAGUCUCAGGAAAUUCAUGACAUGCAAACUUUUGAUCAACAGCAAUCUCCCAAGUGAUGUAAGCAUCAGGGUCAUAUUUACCAUCAAAAGGGGCUAUCUUAAAUUUAAUCUUACUGAAAGCAUCAUCAUUAUUGUGUACCUCGCGUCGGCGGUUGCCACCCAUACCUCUACGGUUGUGACGAAGGCGACGUCGAUCACGAGUGUCUUGAUCAUCAUGUUCAGUAUCACCAGUGUAGUCAUCUUCAUGACUACCGUGCUCUCGAUCUCCCUCCUUUUCUUCUUUAUGCUUCUCUUUAUCUUCGGUGUGGAAAGCAUCAAAUCGCCUUAGGAGAGCAGCAAGACUUUUGUCCACACUAGCAACGGAUUCCUCCAAACUUGUGAGCUUGUUGUUUGUGGCAAUCUGCGUAGCCUCCAACUGCCCCAAGUUUUCAUUUGUCACCUGCAAGUCGUUAUCAAGUCCCUCUGUGUGCAGCUUCACUUUCCUUUCAAAAUGUUGUAUGAUGCCCUUAGUGCGAGGUGUAAGUGGUGUUUCGUUACCAUCAUCUGCCCCUGGCAUGGUUCAAAGACAAAGACAACAAAAAGGCAAGUGAAGAAAUAAAAGCCCUACAACUACUAGGAUGUAGCUACAGCAAGUCGCUCACACUCAACCUGUAACACAAGUUCUUACCAAUUCUUACCUUGCUUGACAGGAGGGGUCGUCUGCCAACAAGUGUACAGCAAUGGACGAAGUGUAUCGGUGCUGCAACACAAGACCUGUCAAGCUGUAGAGUAUGUGGAGCUAUAGGUGGGCUGAAACAAGGAACGAACUAGCACCACGUUAGUUAUAAAAGCGAGCUGAAUAAGCGUUCGACGAUGGUACUGUGCUGGUCCUAGGCUAGACCGUGCUAGAGACGCGAGCCUGGACACAAAGGAAAACCACAGCACACCCCCGAAAACAAGGUGGAAGAAACCUAAAAUCAAUAUGAAAAACAGCCCCUUUUUUUGUUUUGAAUCUUUUCUCUUUUCUUUUUUUUUCUUUUUUUUUCUUUUUUUAGGCAACCUCAAAAACUGAUUAUAUGAACAAAGGAAUACAAAAGAGCAAUUCGCUACACACACUUUUCUCUCUCUCUCUCUCUAGAGUAAGGCCGAACAAGUAUGGAGUUAUCUUUCUUUUUGGAUCACAGUUCAAUUCGGACUUCACAACAGAUUCGACAGAGAGAAGAUAUGGUAAUACUCGGCUGUGUAUAGAUGGUGACAAGAACUCGAAACUCUAAAGGACUAGACACUAAGACCAGCAACUCGACACAAAUCGAAGCAACACAAAUUCAACAAGCCCUAACUAAAACGGUACUAGCCAAGGCACAA